GAGGAUGAGGUAAAGAAUAAAGUCUUUCCUUUAUCUUUGAAGGAUAAGGCGUUGACAUGGUAUAGGCUAUGUGAUGAUACUGGAUCAUGGGACUACAAUCGGUUGAAAUUGGAAUUUAUCAAAAGUUCUAUCCUAUGCAUUUAGUACAUCGUGAUCGGAAUUAUAUUUAUAACUUUUGGCCUCGUAAUAGGGAAAGCAUAGCUCAAGCAUGGCGGAGGCUUAAAUCAAUGCUAUAUUCAGGCCCCAAUCAUGAGCUCUCGAGAGAAAUAUUCACUCAAAACUUUUAUGCUCGGCUUUCGCAAGAAGAUCGUACCAUGCUUGAUACUUCUUGUACCGGUUCUUUUAUGAAGAAGAAUAUUAAUCACAAGUGGAAUUUAUUGGAAAGAAUCAAACGCAACUCUGAAGAUUGGGAGCUUGAAGAAGGUAAGGAGUCAGGUAUGAAUUUCCAGUUUUAUUACGUUAAAUCUUUUGUUGAAACAAACACUUCUAGAGAUUUUAGCGCUAAGUAUGGACUUGACUCUGAGAUAGUAGCUUCUCUAUGUGAAUAUUUUGUUGCUCAUGUUGAUCUUCCCAAAGAGAAGUGGUUUAAGUAUCAUCCCCUAUAGAAAUCAACAUAGUUAAACCCAAUCUAGUUGAGGAGAAAGUCAUUGCUUUUAGUGAUCCUGUUGUUCCUUGUGCCUACUCUGAGAAACCACCUUACCCUGCUAGGAAAAAGGAUUAUUCUAAAGCUCCAACUGUGAUAUGUAGGGGUUACAUUAGACCACUUGCACCCCCUGAGGAAAUUAGAGUUGAACCUAGUGUUGCUAUUAUCAAAGAUCUCUUAUCCGAAGACAUAGACGGUCAAGUUAUCAAAUUCUGUGAGGACUCUGCUAGAAUUGCUAAACCUCACAUGAAAGACAAAUACGGACCUGUAGUUGGCCUGCCCGUUGUUUCUGUCAAGAUAGGAGAUCACUGUUACCAUGGUUUAUGUGAUAUGGGUGCUAGUGUUAGUGCAAUACCCCAUUCCCUAUAUGAUGAAAUCAAAGAUGAGAUCGCACCUGCUGAGUUAGAACCCAUUGAUGUCACUAUUACGCUAGCUAAUAGAGACACUAUGUGCCCUCUGGGAAUUGUGAAAGACGUAGGAGUCCUGUGUGGUAAGACGAAGUAUCCUACUGAUUUCCUCGUCCUUGCUACUGCACAAGAUAGCUUUUGUCCCAUCAUAUUCGGUAGACCCAUUCUCAACAUUGUCAAUGCUCACAUUGAUUGCAUUAAGCAGACUGUCACUGUUAGUUUCGAGGGUGUGUCUCAUGAAUUUAACUUCUCCAAGUUUGGAAGACAACCCCAUGAAAAAGAGUCGUCUGGUAGGGAUGAAACCAUUGCUCUUUCCUCUAUUGCCGUGCCUCCUACGGAUCCUUUAGAGCAAUACCUGCUUGAGCAUGCAAAUGAUAUGCAUAUGGAUGAAAGAGAUGAGAUAGAUAAAAUUGUCUUAGAACAAUAUCCUAUUCUCAAGAAUAAUCUGCCUGUUGAACUGCUUGGGGAUCCUCCCCCACCGAAGGGUGAUCCUGUGUUCGAGAUUAAACAGUUGCCUGAUACUCUUAAGUAUGUCUAUCUUGAUGAGAAGGAGAUAUAUCCUGUUAUUAUUAGUGCUCUCCUCUCGAGUCACAAAAAGAAGUUACUAAGAACUUUGAGGAAGCAUCGUGCGGCUAUUGGAUAUACUCUUGAUGAUCUUAAGGGUAUUAGUCCCACUCUAUGUGAGCACAAGAUUAAAACUGAUCCUGACUUCAAACCAGUUCCUGAUAAUAAAGGAGAUUAAAUCCUAAGAUGAAAGAGGUCGUGAGGAAAGAAAUAUUAAAGCUUCUGGAAGCAGGAAUCAUUUAUCCUGUUGCUCAUAGUGAUUGGGUAAGUCCAGUACAUUGCGCACCUAAGAAGGGAGGUAUCACCGUCGUUCCUAAUGAUAAGGAUGAACUAAUCCCACAGAGGAUUAUUACUGGCUAUAGGAUGGUGAUAGACUUCCGGAAACUAAACAAGGCAACAAGGAAACACCAUUAUCAUUUGUCGUUUAUCGACCAAAUGCUAGAAAGGCUAUCCAAACACACACACUUUUGCUUUCUAGAAGGUUAUUCAGGUUUCUCGCAAAUACCUGUUGCACAAUCUGACCAGGAGAAAACUACUUUCACAUGCCCCCUUCUGUACCUUUGAUUAUAGACGUAUGCCUUUUGGCUUAUGCAAUGCACCUGCCACCUUUCAAAGAUGUAUGAUGGCUAUAUUCUCUGACUUUUGUGAAAAUAUUGUCGAGGUUUUCAUGGAUGACUUCUCCGUUUACGGGUCUUCCUUUGAUGAUUGCCUCAGCAACCUUGAUCGAGUAUUACAGAGAUGCAAAGGUACCAACCUCGUCUUGAAUUGGGAGAAGUGCCACUUUAUGGUUAAUGAAGGCAUCAUCUUAGGACACAAAAUCUCUAAGAAAGGCAUUGAAGUUGAUAAGGCUAAGGUUGAUGCAAUUGAGAAAAUGCCUUGCCCCACAGAUAUCAGAGGUAUACGAAGUUCCCUAGGUCAUGCUGGUUUCUAUAGAAGGUUCAUUAAAGACUUCUCUAAGAUUUCUAGGCCUCUUACCAACCCCUUGCAGAAGGAUGUUCCUUUUGUUUUUGAUGAGGAUUGUGAGGAAGCUUUCGAAAUACUUAAGAAGGCUUUGAUAACCGCACCUAUUGUUCAACCACCUGACUGGAACUUUCCCUUUGAAAUCAUGUGCGACUCUAGUGAUUAUGCUGUUGGUGUUGUUCUAGGACAAAGAGUUGACAAGAAGUUGAUUGUUAUUCACUACGCUAGUAAAACUCUAGACAGUGCCCAAAGAAACUAUGCCACUACGGAAAAGGAGUUUUUAGCAGUCGUGUUUGCAUGUGAAAAGUUCAGAUCUUAUAUAGUUGACUCCAAAGUCACUAUUCACUCUCAUCAUGCUGCUAUUAAGUACCUUAUGGAGAAGAAGGACACUAAGCCUAGGCUAAUCAGAUGGGUUCUCCUGCUACAGGAAUUUGAUUUGGACGUUGUUGACCGAAAGGGUGCUGAUAACCCUGUAGCAGAUAACUUUUCCAGGCUAGAGAAUGUCCUUGAUGACCCACUACCUAUUGAUGACAGCUUCUUGAUGAGCAAUUGAAUGUCAUCCGCACUUCACAUAGCGCACCGUGGUAUGCUGAUUAUGCAAACUAUAUCGUAGCCAAAUACAUACCACCUAUUUUCACCUAUCAGAAAAAGAAGAAAUUCUUAUUUGAUUUGAGACACUACUUUUGGGAUGAUCCUCACCUUUAUAAGGAAUGCGUAGAUGGUGUUAUUAGACUUUGUGUGCGUGAACAUGAACAGGGACAGAUCCUGCAGAAGUGUCAUUCCGAGGCCUACGGAGGACACCAUGCUGGAGAUAGAACUGCUCAUAAGGUAUUGCAAUCAGGUUUCUAUUGGCCCACUCUCUUCAAGGAUGCCCGUAAGUUUGUCUUGUCUUGUGACGAAUGCUAAAGAAUAGGGAACAUCAGUAAGCGUCAGGAAAUGCCUAUGAACUAUUCACUUGUCAUUGAACGGUUUGAUGUGUGGGGCUUUGAUUAUAUGGGACCCUUCCCGAGUUCCAAUGGUUAUACUCACAUCUUAGUCGCUGUUGAUUAUGUCACUAAGUGGGUGGAAGCUAUCCCCACUAGAAAUGUUGAUCAUCACACCUCUAUUAAGAUGCUUAAAGAAGUCAUUUUCCCAAGAUUUGGAGUCCCUAGAUAUCUGAUGACUGAUUGCGGUUCACACUUUAUUCAUGGUGUUUUCCGCAAGAUGCUUGCUAAUUAUGAUGUCAACCAUAGAGUUGCAUCUCCUUAUCAUCCUCAGUCUAGUGGUCAAGUGGAGUUGAGUAAUAGGGAGAUCAAAUUGAUCCUACAAAAGACUGUCAAUAGAUCUCGGAAGAAUUGGUCUAGUAAACUUGAUGAUGCACUAUGGGCUUAUAGGACUGCUUAUAAGAAUCCCAUGGGCAUGUCGCCGUAUAAAAUGGUUUACGGUAAGGCCUGUCAUUUACCUCUUGAGCUGGAACACAAAGCUUAUUGGGCAAUCAAAGAGCUCAACUUCGAUUUCAAACUUGCCGGUGAGAAGCGGUUGUUUGAUAUCAGCUCAUUAGAUGAAUGGAGGGCCCAGGCAUAUGAGAAUGCCAAGUUGUUCAAGGAAAAGGUUAAGAGAUGACACGAUAAAAGAAUACAGAAACGAGAGUUUAAUGUAGGUGAUUAUGUCCUGAUGUACAAUUCUCGCUUAAGAUUCUUCGCAGGCAAGCUUCUCUCUAAAUGGGAAGGUCCUUACGUUGUCGAGGAAGUAUAUCAUUCUGGUGCCAUCAAAAUCAAUAACACGGAAGGAAAUUUUCCUAGAGUGGUUAAUGGGCAAAGAAUCAAGCAUUAUAUCUCCGGUACUCCCAUAAAUGUUGAGAUCAGUAUCAUCAAUAUCAUAACUCCAGAGGAGUACAUAAGGGAUGUUUAUCAGCCUGUUUCAGACCCUGAAAAUGAAGAGGUAUAUAUUUCGGCAAGUAAUUGGACUCCAAAGCUUUUCCAAUAGGAAAUUUCCUCCGUUUCGGAAUUUUUGGAAAAUUAGAAAAAUAAAAAACAGUCCGGAGAGCGCACGAGGCAGCCACAAGCUUGGUAGCCGCCACCUACCCCCCUGGCGGCGGCUACAGGGCUUGCGGGCACCUCUUUUGCCUCCCGGACUCCGUUUUCUUGCGGAGCACUCCUUCUGGUCCAGAAAAAAUCAUUAUAUAUACGCCCGAGGGUUUUAAUCUCCAUAUCGCGCAGUUUUCCUCUGUUUUUGUUUUGAGCCUUUUGUCUGCCGCAGAUUUAGGUCAAGAUAUCUUCUCAAGAUUCAGAAGAAGAGAUCUAUGUGGCUGAUGAUCGUGCUAAAUCCAGGAUUAAUGGGGACUUGGAACCAUAUGGCUGGACCACUGACGAGGAAGAGGACAAUGAGCCCAAGGGGAAGGAACAAACGAGUUCUGAUGAAGAGGAGGCUCCUUUACCUCAACCUGCAAACACCCAUGUGGAGUUCAAGAAGUCAAGCCUCCCCAACUCCAGGAAGAAACCUAAGACCAUAUUUAUCCCCUCUCAUUUCUUGCAGGAGAGUAAGCAAGAAAUUUGCCAUAGAGUGUUGAAACUUGAGGAGGAAAAUGACGAUCUAAGGGAGCAGAACUUUUUGCUCAAGUGGAAAAUAGACAAGCUCAAGACUGCUUCAACAACUCCACCACCAUCACCACCAAAGGAAGACAACUAAGCAUUGGUAUGGUCUAUCCCCUUGGCUUUUGCCAAGCUUGGGGGAGUUUCCCUGGUAUCGUAUCACCUUUAUAUCUUUUGCUUUUACCUUUGUUUUAGUUCUUUCCUUUUCAGUUUUUAUUUCUUCGCUUAGUGGAAUAAGUCUUUAGUGUCUAGUUUGAGUCUUUUGCUUUGUGUCUCCCCCGAUGUAUUCGAGCUUGCGAGCUAUAUAAUAAAGAGUAUCUUAGUCAAGGGCUUUGUUUUGUGCCGCGAUCAAAAGUAUGAAAAGAACGAUAACAUGAAAGAUCAUGAGAUGAUCUUAUGGAAAGUGAUAGCUUCACAUAUAACAAGUCUGAUGAUUGAAACUUGUUGAGAAUAAACCAACAUAGACCUCAAUCAUUGUUGCAAUUAAUAAGAAGAAAUAAGGAAAGAGAGGUUCACAUAUAAAUAUAUCAUCUUAGACACGUUCUAUAAUUGUGAGCACUCACCAAACUAUUACAUGCUUAGAAGUAGAUGUUGGACAAGGAAGACAACAUAAUGAAUUGUGUUUGCUUGGUUCCAAAAAAUGUUAUAUGAUUAGAGAUCCCUUAGCAUGUGACGAUUGCUUCCACCUCAUAUUAGCCAAAACUCCCGCACCAAGUAGAGAUACUACUUGUGCAUCCAUAAACCUCCAACCCAGUUUUGCCAUGAGAGUCCACCAUACCUACCUAUGGAUUGAAUAAGAUCCCUCAAGUAAGUUGUCAUUGGUGCAAGCAAUCAAAAUUGCUCUCUAAUAUGUAUGAUCUAUUAGUGUGUGGAAAAUAAGCUUUAUACGAACUUGUGAUGAGGAAGACAUAAAAGUGACAAACUGCAUAAUAAAGUUCUUUAUCACAGGAGGCAAUAUAAAGUGACGUUCCUCCGCACUAAGAUGACACGCAUCCAAACCUCAAAAGCGCAUGACAACCUCUGCUUCCCUCUGCGAAGGGCCUAUCUUGUACCUUUACUUUUUGCCCUUGUAAGAGUCAUGGUGAUCUUCACCAAUUCCCCAUUUUUCCUUUGUCUUGGCUGCCGUCACAUGCUUGGGAAAGAUCUAUAUUCAUAUAUCAACUUGGAGAUGAGCACUUAUGCUUUAUUAUUGUUGACUUUACCCUUCAGGUAAAAGGUUGGGAGGCAAAACUAUUAGCCCCUAUCUUCCUUUGUGUCCACCUGAAACUUUGAUACCAUGGGUACCACGUGAGUUGUAACAAUUGUGGAAAACAAAAGAGAUGAUUGAGUAUGUGGGUUUGCUUUACAAGCUCUUAUUUGACUCUUUCUGAUGUCAUGAUAAAUUGCAAUUGCUUCAAUGACUAGGGAAUGUUGUUGGUUACUUCUCGGUAAGGUUUUUGCUUCAUACUUUGCUUUGUGAAGGAAUUGUUACUUUCCCAUAAGAAUCUUUAUGAUGUAUUGUUGUUCUAUAUAUGAUCUUGAUGCCCUCAUGUCCGCAUUAUGUUUUAUCGACACCUUCAUCCCUAAACGUGUGGACAUGUUUAUGGAUCUUGGUUUUCGCUUGAUUACAAGCGAUGUCUAAGCUUGGGGGAGUUGAUACGUCCAUUUUGCAUCAUGCUUUCAUGUCGAUAUUUAUCUUUAUGGGUUGUUAUAUUACCUUGUGGUACCUUACUUAUGCCUUUUCUCCCUUAUUUUGCAAGGUUUAUUUGAAGAGGGAGAAUACUGGCAGCUGGAAUUCUGAACUGGAAAAGGAGCAAGUCUGAGUCCUCUAUUCUGCACAACUCCAAAUGUCCUGAAAAUCAACGUGGAAUUUUUUGGGAUUAUAUAAAAAAUACUGGGUGAAAGAAGUACUAGAGGGGAGCUACCAGGGGCCCACAAGCCUGGUAGCCGACACCCCCCUGGUGGCGGCUACAGGGCUUGUGGGCUCCCUGAUGGCCCACUGGCCCCCCUCUUUUGCUAUAUGAAGGGUUUCGUUCCAGAAAAAUCAAGAGGGAGAUUUUUUGUGGUUUCGCCGCUGCCACGAGGUGGAACUUGAGCAGAUCCAAUCUAGAGCUCCGGCACGACGAUCCUGCCGGGAAAACUUCCCUCGUGGAGGGGGAAAUCGUCGCCUUCGUCAUCACCAACACUCCUCUCGUCAGAGGGGAGGCAUCUUCAUCAACAUCUUCAUCAGCACCAUCUCCCCUCCAAUCCCUAGUUCAUCUCUUGUAACUAAUCUCCGUCUCGCGACUCCGAUUGGUACUUGUAAGGUUGCUAGUAGUGUUGAUUACUCUUUGUAGUUGAUGCUAGUAGGAUUACUUGGUGGAAGAGUUUAUGUUCAAAUCCUUGAUGCUAUUCAUUACACCUCUGUUCAUGAUUAUGAUUAUGCUUUGUGAGUAGUUACUUUUGUUCCUGAGGACAUGGGAUAAGUCAUGCUGAUAAUAGUCAUGUGAAUUUGGUAUUCGUUCGGUAUUUUGAUAUGUUGUAUGUUGUCUUUUCCUAUAGUGGUGUUAUGUGAACGUCGACAACAUAACACUUCACCAUAUUUGGGCCUAGAGAAAGGCAUUGGGGAGUAGUAAGUAGAUGAUGGGUUGCUGGAGUGACAGAAGCUUAAACCCCAGUCUAUGUGUUGCUUCGUAAGGGGCUGAUUUGGAUCCACUAGUUUAAUGCUAUGGUUAGACGUUGUCGUGGGUAUAAGUCUCACAGUAGAUGUAUAGGGUACGAAAGGAUGGGCAGAGCCUUAGCUACGGCGAGGUUGUAUGAGUUCGGGCCCCUCUACGGUGGAGGUAAAAGCCCUACGUCUCAGUGCUCUUGGGAGCUUGAUGUCGAGUGGAAUAUGGAUUACAGUGAUUUGCUAACCCCUGCACCAGUGGGGAAGGGCGGCUUAUAUAGAGUGCACUGCCCUUCACAACGGUUCGGUGCACAGGGGUGGAGUAGUGGCGAAUAAAUGCCUACGUUACAGGUAACAUAUGCUUUAAAUGCUAAUAAAGGUACAUGAAAACGUAUGACCGUUGCCCUCCAGGGGGGCUAGGAUGUACAAAGUGGAAUCCAGUCGGUAAGUUUGAUACGCUCCGAAUGCUCAUCUCCGACUGGAUGAUGGAGGAGUCGUCACCGACUGGAUGAUGGGAAGUCCUUAAUUCAGUCGGAACUGACUAAGGGCCUUGUCCCUUACGAAGGGUAGUCCUUAGGUAGGACCUAUAGGGCAGGCCUAUGACCCUACCCUAGGACUAUAACCCCAUCAUUAGUCCCCGAAUGGAUCGGGGUUGGAAUGACGAAGCGAUGCUUGGAGUACGGAUCCGACUGGUAUGGAUGCGACUUUGGCGUUGUUUGGCUCGAUCCAUUUUAUCCUCUUGAUCAGUGAUCCGAGUGGUUAUAUCUGUGAAACGAACCGUCAGAGACCGAGUGCUUCCGUGGAAUCUUUUGACGUGACCGGUCAACUGACAGCGGCGGAUUUUCUGGGAUCCUCAAAUUUCGGUUGCCGCGCGUUCAGCGGGGAUGACAACAUCGUCAUCGAGUAGUAUCUGCCGCCUCGAUUUCCGCGCCUUCAUCUCCACCACUAAUAUCGCAGCAGCCGGUCGGGGGAUAAGAUUUCGGGGCCACCUGUUAGUGACCCAGUCGGAACCUUAUUUAAACCUCUCCAGCGAGGGUUUCUCGUUGCACUCGCCUGAUAACUCGCAGUCGCCCCGCUUCUCCCGUGGUUUCCUGCGCACCCCAAGCUCCUUCCUUCGUCUCCUCCCCCGCGGAUCUACAGCCUCCACCAUGACGAAGGGGCAGAUGAGCAAGCUCGAGGCGCGGAAGAAGAAGAAGGCGUUGGCUCCUGCUCAGCGGCGACAGCGGGCCCUGCCGGCAGGUUGGAUCCACGGGGAUUUCCUCCCCUCCACGGUGACGCUGGCGGACAUGCUGGAGCUCGUGGAGCAAGGCAUGAUCGAGAACAAGACGUGGAGGCUGCCGGCGGAGGGCGAGACGGAGCCGGCGCCCCAGGAGGGGGAGCACGUCUUGCUGCUCAGUCACGUGUACCGAGGCUUCUCUCUGCCUCCUCAUCCCUUCUUCAGAGGUAUAAUGAACCACUUUGGGGCACAGCUCCACCAUUUUCCUCCCAACGCAAUAGCCCAUCUCUCUGCCUUCGUCGUGCUUUGCGAGUGUUUUAUCGCUUGUCCUCCCCAUUGGGGGCUCUUUAAGCACAUCUUCUCCGCUAGAUCCCAAACCAUCAAAAGACUUAGCCAGUCGGACGACAAAACUCAUCUUCUCCAGCUCUGCGGAGGCUUAGGCUUCCAGAAGAAAAGCAAAAGUAGCUAUCCCGCUCUUCAGUUGUCUGAAUCCGUUAGGAACUGGCAGUCGACUUGGUUCUACUACCAGGACGUCGCUUGUCCGAAUGCCGCAACUGGACUGCCACCUUUUAGCCUAGACCGACCGGCUCCGCCUAGGCAGCUUGCGCUCAUGAAGAUGGAAAAGAUCCAGAUUCAGCCUCUGGUCGACGCGCUGGUAGAUGUCGUCCGCAAGGGAGUCACCGGCAUAGAUUUGCUGGAGAUUUUUCUGGGUCGGCGUAUCCAGCCUUUGCAAGCUCGACACCACGCCAUGUGGCACUACACGGGGCCUGAGGACUCCACUCGGACUCACCCCGAGUGCAUGACCGGGGAGGUUGUGACGGCGUGGGUCCGCAGCAUCACAGGCGCCUGCGAUAACCCCAGAGGAGCCCGGCGAGUGAAGCCCUUCCACGCGGAAAACCCUCCUCCGAAUGAGGUGAGUAUAACUUGUCGAGUGCUCACAAUUGUCUUAGAUUUAUCGCUUUUUCUUGUAUCACUGACUGACGUCUGAUGUUGUCGACUGUAUCUCGUGCAGGCGUGGACCAACUGGUUUUCCCCCGUCUCGAACGGGAAUCCGGCUGAGGAAGAGGAAGGCAUCCAGGAGGGCAGGGUGGAGAGCGUCGAGUACGUCUCCGACAGUGGGGAGAUGGAGGAGGAGUCCGAAGAGUAAGAGGGGCAAGAUGAGGAACAGAACUCGCCACCCCCACCACCAGGGCCUCAAACUAAGCGCCGUCACGAACCCGUGACCUCGUCGGCUCCUCCAGCGGCCUCGAGUGCCCCGCCAACUACUCCCGUGGUUCCGAGUGCUCGGAGCACAAAGAGGACCAGGGACUGUGCUGCUGAGCCCGUGGGCCAGCCUUCUAAGGUGGCCAAACCGAGUGGAUCCAAGCCUCGGAAGGCUUUGCCGCGGAUGAGGAUCGCCGUUCCCGUUUACUCAGCGUAAGUGUAUUGUUCUCCUAUCUUCUUCCAGUAUUUGAUUGAACUCAUGCUUAUUGGUCGAGUGAAUUUUACUCGGCAGAGCUGCCACCUUCGCCACUUCUCUGCCACGCCAGGAAGACGAUCCCAUGGAUACGGACAAGGUUGCCACAUCCCAGCAAGGUAUGUCGUGGCGACUCUGAGAGCUUACAUUAUUGUUUCACGAAUUCUGUCUUUGAUCUUGCCCUUUUUCUUGUGGUCUCACGUCGUUCGGUCGGGCUUCCUUCAGAGGUGAUUCAUGUGGAGGAGGACGACCAGAAGAGGUCCGAGCAAGCUGCGGUGCCUGUCCUUGAGGCUGUUCCAUCUGCUACUACUCCUGCCAUGGACGCGCCGCCAACCGAGACGAUGCCGUCGACCGAAACAGCGCUCAUCGCUGAUGAACCGACUGGAGCAGGACUUGGGAUGCCCAAGGAGUCUCUUGUGGUGCCAGGUCCGUCGACCGUCUAGUACGACGCCCAGCGCCUCCCAGAAGAUCAGGUGGGAGCUGCCAAGGGGGCCAUGGUGCAGAUGGAGUUGAUGGCGGGUGAAGCUAAGAGUGCGUACGACUCCAUCGCAUCUGUGUACAAGUGAAGCUUGGAACUCCGGGACGAUAUCCGAGUAAGUGGGCUAGUAAGUAUUUACUUUCCUCUUGUAACCCACUGGGUGUUUAAGCAAUAUACUCAGAUACAGUAUGAUUAUUUUGCAGUGGGUUCACUCUUAGUGAACCCAGUGGGUGUAGUCCCCGAGACUUCUGUCGAGUGCUUGCACCGGCAGUUGUCUUUAUACACAUUUUCUUUAACUUGAUCAGAUCAAAACUAAUCUGUUCGAAUGUUAUCGGUGGGGGCACUCCGAGUGCACCUACUGGAAGUAGUCCCCGAGAGUAAUUUUACUCAGGUCGGGUAGUAGUAGCCUCAUAGGCUUGUUUUUUGUUAUGUAGCUCAAUAGGGCGGACCUGUUUGAGCUUCAUGCCAGUGGGGUCACUCUUAGUGAACCCACUGGGUGUAGUCCCCGAGACCGCUCUCGACUGCUUGCAUCGGCAGGGGUCUGAAGAACUUCGAGCUUUUAUUGUUUUCCUUGUUGAAUUGGUCUGAUCUUCUCUUCACGCUGAUUUGCAGAAGACUUGCGAGAUGGGAUCAGCGUACAACACUCUGAAGGCUGAAAAGAUUCAGCUUGCUGCGGAACUGGAGGUAGCUAUGCAUGACUUGGCUGGUGUGAAGGGCGCUCUGGCUGAAUGAGAGAAGUCCUUGGAGGAGUCCCGUGAGGCAAACAAGGCAUUGGUGGCCGAAAUGGAGAAAAUGGGGAAAUAAAGAACUGAGCUGAUGGGUCAGAUGAGGUCGUUGAACAGUCGGUGCAUAUCGCAAGAGAAGUACGUCAGUGACUGGGCUAGGAAGAUGAUUGCGUUGCUCGGUGGUAAGUUUAUUCCGAGUGCUUCUUGACUGUGUAUUUCAUUCUGCGCUUACUUUCUUCUCGUCUUGUCUUUGCAGAUUUUUGUAUGGACGCUGAGGCUGAAGCAGCUGACGUUGAGCGGUCGGUUAUUCCGAACGUUCCACUCGGCGACGACGCCAAUCGAGACAUGCUCCGAGCGCGCAUUCGCCUGGGAAAAGUGGGACCUUUCAUCGGUCGUCUGAGAGAGGUCAUCGGCCUAAUCGACAAGGAGUUGUGGCCCGAAGACGAGUCCCGGUGGGAGAUGGAAGGGUUGAUGACUCGGCUGGAGGACGUCCCGAACCGAGUGCAGGCGUGGAAGAAGUCUGCUGCUCGCUGUGGUGCGGUCGUGGCGCUGUCGCUGGUCCGAGUGCACUGCAAGGAGGCUCGCGAAGAGAAGCUGAAGGUGCUGCAGGUCGCCAUCGCGAAGAAGCUUCGAUUCGAAGAUUUCAUGGAGACCUUCCUUGAGAGCGCCAGUCGCAUCGCAGACGGGAUCGACCUCGACACUUUCAUGGAGCCUGCCAGUCCCAGUGCUAGUCAUGACGACGCUUGAAAGAACUUUACCUCGGUAUGCCGAGUGGUAGUUGUAUCAAACUUUGGCCGCUGCUGUUGGCCGUCAUAUUCGUGGUUCGGUGUGGAUAAGCUUGAUCUACACCGAACCGACUAUCUUUAAACCAACUUGGAAUUUGAAUCGAAUAUUUUGGUCUUCCUUUGCCAAAGAAUUGUUGACACGAUUUUGGCUCAUGGUUUUUGUUUGGCGUUUCUUGGUGAAGCGAGUGGCAAACAUGCGGAGCAUGUAGUUGUCAUUUGUCUUGACAUGUGCAUGAGCCUCAAUGAGGGUCUGCUAAGUUUCCGAGUGGAUCUCUAGGAUACACGGGAAGGCAAUUGUUUACUUAGGCGAUUCAUGACCGCAGCUAAGUUUUUGAGCGCGACUGUAAGGUCGUACUCGGAGCGAGUUGCUACUCAUGUAAUUGUCAGUUGUCUUGACAUCUACAUGAGCCUCAAUGAGGGUCUACUACUCGUGUAAUUGUCAGUUGUCUUGACAUCGACAUGAGCCUCAAUGAGGGUAGUUGCUACUCAUGUAAUUGUCAGUUGUCUUGACAUCUACAUGAGCCUCAAUGAGGAUCUGCUAACCUCCGAGUGGAUCUCUAAGAUACACUCGAAGGAAGCUUUUUUACUUAGGCGAUUCUUGAUCGCAAACAAGUCCCCGAGUGUGUCGUUUAGAGCGCACUCGGAGAAAGUUGUUGUUUAGGCGAUUCUGGAUCGCAGCUAAGUCCCCGAGUGCGAUGUUUUAGUGCACACUCGGAGAAAGCUUGUACUUAGGCGAUUCUGGAUCGCAGCUAAGUCCCCGAGUGCGACGUUUUAGUGCACACUCGGAGAAAUUUUGUACUUAGGCGAUUCUUGAUCGCAGCUAAGUCCCCGAGAGCGAUGUUUAGUCCUCACUCAGAGAAAGUUGGUACUUAGGCGAUUCUUUAUCGCGGCUAAGUCCCCGAGUGCGACGUUUAGUGCACACUCGGAAAAAGUUUUUACUUAGGCGAUUCUUGAUCGCAGCUAAGUCCCCGAGUGCGACAUUCAGUGCACACUCGGAGAAAGUUGGUACUUAGGCGAUUCUUGAUCGCAGCUAAGUCUCCGAGUGCGACGUUUAGUGCACACUCGGAGAAAGUUUGUACUUAGGCAAUUCAGGAUCGCAGCUAAGUCCCUGAGUGCGACGUUUAGUGCACACUUGGAGAAAGUUAGUACUUAGGCGAUUCUGGAUCGCAGCUAAGUCCCCGAGUGCGACGUUUAGUGCACACUCGGAGAAAUUUAGUACUUAGGCGAUUCUGGAUCGCAGCUAAGUCCCCGAGUGCGACGUUUAGUGCACACUCGGAGAAAGUUAGUACUUAGGCGAUUCUGGAUCGCAGCUAAGUUUUUUUUUGAGACCGGAGUCUGCGAACGCGGAAGAAUUUUGAAUCUGCAAAAACUCAAUCUGCUUUGUACUACUUCAACGAUACUUGUUCUUUACAUUGCUUCAGUCGACGGUCACGUGUAGAAGUGCUUCAUGAGAUCUCCGUUCCAUGCUCGCGGCUCGUCCGUUUCCCUGUCGAGGUUGUAGAGUCGAUAUGCUCCAUUGUUCAGCACCUUGGAGAUGAUGAAGGGUCCUUCCCAGGCGGGAGCCAACUUGUGAGGUCUCUGCUGAUCCACUCGGAGCACCAGGUCGCCUCCUUGGAAUGUACGACUCCUCACGUGCCGCGCGUGAAAACACCACAGAUCUUGUUGAUAAAUGGUUGAGCGAGUCAGUGCCAUCUCGCGCUCCUCCUCUGGAAGAUCCACUCCGUCUUGCCUUGCUUGCUCUGCUUCAGCUUCGGAGAAGAGUUCAACUCGUGGAGCGUUGUGAAGCAAGUCACUCGGAAGGACUGCCUCUGCUCCGUAAACGAGGAAGAACGGGGAUCGCCCUGUAGAUCUAUUUGGGAUUGUGCGGAGACCCCACAACACCGAAGGCAGCUCGGUGACCCAUGCGCCGGCAGCAUGUCCCACUUCUCGCAGGAGUCGAGGCUUCAAACCUUGCAGAAUAAGUCCAUUCGCCCGCUCUGCUUGCCCGUUUAUUUGGGGAUGUGCCACAGAUGCAAAAUCCACUCGGAUACCUUGGCCUGUACAGAAACCUUUGAAUCUGUCCGAGUCAAAGUUUGUGCCAUUGUCACUGAUUAUGCUGUGCGGUACCCCGAAUCUGGAGAUGAUGUCCCGGACAAACUUGAUGGCCGUAAGGGCGUCGAGCUUCUUGAUGGGUUUGGCUUCAGUCCACCUUGUGAACUUGUCGACUGCCACCAACAGAUGUGUGAAUCCCCCUUGGCCUGUCCUGAAUGGACCGACUGUAUCUAAUCCCCACACUGCAAACGACCAGACAAGAGGGAUUGUCUUCAACGCAGAUGUUGGCUUGUGGGACUUGUUCGAGUAGAACUGACAGCCUUCGCAUCAGUCGACCAUAUCCUUCGCCAUUUCAUUCGCCUGCAACCAGAAGAAGCCAGCUCUGAAUGCUUUGGCGACGAUUGCCCUUGAGGAGGCAUGAUGACCGCAGGUUCUCGAGUGAAUUUCUUCCAGGAUUAACUGUCCCUCCUCAGGGGAGAUGCAUCAUUGAAGGACGCCUGAAACGCUUUCCUUGUACAACUGGCCAUCAAUGACAGUGAACAACUUUGACCUGCGGACGAUCUGUCUGGCUUGGACUUCGUCUUCUGGUAAUUCUUGCCUUAGGAUGUAUGCAAUGAACGACACAGUCCAAUCGGGGAUGAUAGCAAGAAUCACCAUGAUCAAAUCAACCACAGCAGGGACUUCGAGUUCAGUCGGAUCUGUCGAGCUCUUUGGUUGUACUGGUUCCUCUGUGAAAGGAUCUUCUUUAACUUAGGGAAGGUGAAGGUGCUCGAGGAAGACGUCACUCGGGACUGGUCUCCGAGUGGAUCCAAGUUUCGCCAAUUCAUCAGCUGCUUGGUUUUUCAGUCGCGGAACAUGGUGGAGUUCGAGACCUUCAAACUUUUUCUCGAGCUUCCUCACCGCAUUGCAGUAUGUGGUCAUGGUGGGGUUCCUGAUGUCCCACUCCUUCAUCACUUGAUUAACCACCAAAUCCGAAUCGCCAUAGACCAUCAGGCAACGGACGCCGAGUGCAAUGGCCAUGCGCAGUCCAUAAAGAAGAGCUUCAUACUCUGCCUCGUUGUUGGAGGAAUCAAAGUGUAUCUGCAACACAUACUUGAGUUUGUCACCCUUUGGUGAUAUGAUCACAACGCCAACGCCGGAGCCAUUCAACAUCUUGGACCCAUCGAAUAACAUUGUCCAAUGAGCCGAGUAGAUGUGGGUCGGUUGCUGUUGUUCUACCCAUUCUGCUAUGAAGUCAGCCAGGGCUUGAGACUUUAUAGCUUUCUUGGCCUCGAACUUGAUGUCGCAGUAUAACAUCUCCAUUGCCCACUUCGCCACUGGGCCCGAUGCGUCCCGAUUGUGGAGGAUUUCCGACAAUGGAGCAUCAGAAAUGACAGACACCGAGUGGUCUUGGAAAUAAUGAGCCACCUUCUUCGCAGUCAUGUAAAUCCCGUAGAUAAGUUUUUGAUAGUGGGGAUACCUCUGCUUGGAAGGAGUCAGGACUUCGGAGACAUAAUACACUGGCCGCUGAACCUUGUAUGCUUUGCCUUCUUCUUCCCGUUCGACUGUGAGAACAGUGCUGACGACUUGAUUUGUAGCCGCGAUGUACAGAAGAAGGGGUUCUUUACUGAGCGGAGCAGUAAGAACCGGCUGGGUGGCAAGUAGGACUUUGAGGUCGUCAAAUGCGAUUUGGGCUUCGUCUAUCCACUCGAAGGUAUCUGAUUUCUUCAUGAGUCGGUACAGAGGAAGUGCCUUCUCGCCGAGUCGACUGAUAAACCUUCUCAAAGCCGCUAGGAAACCUGUGAGCCUUUGAACAUCGUGUAUGCUGACCGUCCGCUCCAUUCGGACGAUGGUCCCGAUCUUUUCGGGGUUGACAUCGAUCCCUCGUUCAGAAACAAAGAAACCGAGUAACUUUCCGCUGGGAACACCGAAUGAACACUUGGCUGGGUUGAGCUUGAUAUCGUACCUACGAAGGUUGGCGAAUGUUUCUGCCAAGUCAGUCAGCAGGUCGGAACCUUUGCGUGACUUGACUACGAUAUCAUCCAUAUACGCCUCCACAUUCUGACCGAUCUGGUCAAGGAGGCAUUUUUGGAUCAUGCGCAUAAAGGUUGCUCUUGCAUUCUUCAAACCAAAUGGCAUAGUGAUGUAGCAGAAGCACCCGAACAGGGUGAUGAAGGCUGUUUUUAAUUCAUCGGGGCCAUACAGACGGAUCUGAUGAUAGCCCGAGUAGGCAUCAAGGAAUGACAAACGCUCGCAACCCGCAAUCGAAUCGACAAUUUGAUCGAUGCGGGGGAGCGGAAAUGGUCUUUCGGGCAGACCUUAUUGAGAUGCUUGAAGUCGAUGCACAUUCGGAGAGAGUUGUCCUUCUUGGGCACCAUGAAAACAUUGGCGAGCCACUCGGAGUGGUGUACCUCGCAAAUGAAGUUGGCUGCCAAAAGCUUAGCCACAUCUUCUCCGAUUGCCUUCCUCUUGUGGGCAGCGGACCGACGCAAGCGUUCUCGGACAGGCCGAGCAGAAGGAUCCACAUGCAGUAGGUGCUCGGCCAACUCCCUGGGUACACCUGGCAUGUCAGCGGGCUUCCAUGCGAAAAUGUCCCAGUUCUCACGGAGGAAUUGGAUGAGCUCGGCUUCCUAUUUAGGAUCGAGUGUGGUGGAGAUGUUCGUCGGGGCAGCGGUGUCCUCCGUCGGGUGGAUGCUGGCCUUCUUCGUCUCUCCCGCCGACUGGAAUGCGGACUCCGAAGCUGGCUUCUUCGAACGCAUCAAGUCCGCGGGGUCGACUGUCUUCUUGUACUUGUCAAGCUCGAGGACAGCCAUCUGCUGAUCGGCGAUCCUCGAUCCCUGCUGCAGACACUCCUCGGCCCGUUGCCGAUUGCCUGUGAUAGUGAUCACACCUUUUGGGCCUGGCAUCUUCAGCUUCAGGUACACGUAACAUGGACGGGCCAUGAAACGCGCAUAUGCCGGGUGGCCCAGAAUCGCGUGGUACACACUUUGGAAGUCCACCACCUCGAACGUCAGUUUUUCCUUGCGGAAGUUCUUGUCGGAGCCGAAGACGAUGUCCAACGCGAUCUGGACGAGUGACUUGGCAUUUCGUUCAGGGACAACUCCAUGGAACUGCAUGCUGCUCUCGCUAAGUUUGGACAUCGGAAUGCCCAUCCCCUUGAGAGUGUCAUCGUACAUGAUGUUCAAGCCGCUGCCGUCAUCCAUGAGGACUUUGCGCAGUCGGACUCCUUCCACCACCGGGUUGACGACCAGGGCCUGCCUCCCUGGGGUGGGUACGUGUGCUGGAUGAUCCGACUGGUCAAAGGUGAUCGCAGUCUGAGACCAUUUGAGGAACGUGGGGUUGGUCGGGGUGGCCAUGUUCACCUCCCUGAUCACCAACUUGAGUCGACUAUUGCUUUCAACGUCAGCAAAAAUCAUCAGUGUUGCAUGGACUUGGAGGAACGGAUCCUCCUUGUCCUCCUCAUCCUGUUCAUUGUCCUUUUCACUCAGCUGCCCUUCGCCGAACCCCUGGAUCAGGAGGCGACAUUGCCGAGUGGUAUGCUUCGGAAAUAUGGCGUUGCCCUCUUCAUCCAUCUUCGUGUGGAUUGGACAUGGCUGGUCCAGGAUGUGGUUUCCGAACUGCUUCUUCUUGGGGGUGAACUGAGCCUUCCCGUUGCCCUUGAACUUGGCAUUGGUAAUGGCUGCGGCCUCUACCUGCGGAGUGGACGGAGCUUUCUGCUUCUGCUUCCGAGUGUUGUUCCCAUCUCCAUCGGCGACUGCUUUGUGCUUGUCGUUAUGAAUGCGGUUCAGCCAUGCUCGUGCCAAGCAAUCGAGCAUCAGGGGGAGAUGUUUCAUGGCGACCUGGUCGUCCCCACCGCCGAUCUGGACUGCCACUCGAUAGUCGUCUAGCCACGUUUCUGGCUUGGAUUCUCCUGUAAACUUGCUGAUCCCCAUUGCCAAUCGGAAGUUGGGAGGGAUGUCAGCCGAACGGAUGGCUCGACUGAAACACUCAGGGCCAGAGACGAUGGUCCUGCUUCCACUCGGACGGUCUAUAUCGUGACCAUCGCGGUGGGCCCGGCCCCUGUCGACCCUCCUCUGGGCAAUAUAUCCUCUUGUGUCGGGCCUUGGAUCAUAAGUGUCACCAACCGAACACCGAUCAUCAUGAUGUCGGGGCCCGUAGGGCCCACCCCGCGGAGGGGUGCGUGAACGGCGACGAUCUUCAGGAUUCAUGGAACGGCUGCCUCCCCUGUGUCGCUGAUGAGAACCGGGGCUGUGAACUGACCGAUGUGUGUUCGCGUGAACAGAACUAUUGUGGAUCCUGUUGUGCGACUAGGAGACCGCCGAAUUUUGCUGCUGCGCCGUCUGCAGCAGGGCACGGAUCUGCUCGAUCACUCUGCCAGCCUCUGAAUCAGUCGAUUGGAGGGAAUCGGCUAUCUUGGCGGGGGCGGCCAGGUUGAGGACGGGUGUGCGGAACACCUCCACGUUGCUCCGACGAGUGUGCCGACUGGCAGAACAGCGGGGCUGACGGCGAGCGCCGGAUGUUUCGCCGACCUCGUGCUCGUUCCGGCCGGUUUGGCGGGGACUUUCAUGGGAGUUGGCCAUGUGCACUUCGGCUGCAGGCCCGUGACCCAAAUACUCGGAAGGAAACUCAGUCGGAACUGAGUCCGAGCGCUGGGACGGCGGCGCAACUACAACCGACUCGAGGACCGCCACUGGUGAAGACGCGUUCUGGCGCGCCUGGGCGGGUUGCACCCAACGCUGGAGCCGCAGACGGCGGGACCGCUUGUUGCGGCGGGCGAUGGCGGCGUAGGUCGACACCGGAGCCAACUGCUGGAGAAGAAGGAUGCCGCGGGCGCCGGCACGGAAGUGCGUAGCCCCGCGACUGGGGAGCGCCUCGACGUCGAGAGGGGCAUCCCGAAGCCAUGUCGAAUCAUCAACGAUGAAGGAGAGAUCGUCGAAGAGGAUCUCGUGACCCAUGCUUAAAUCUCCACCGGAUGACAUGAUGAAAAGAUGUAGUCGCAAACUCGCCGGAAGUCGCUUAGACGCCUGCCCCAAGGUGGGCGCCAACUGUCGUGGGUAUAAGUCUGACAGUAGAUGUAUAGGGUACGAAAGGAUGGACAGAGCCUAAGCUACGGCGAGGUUGUAUGAGUUCGGGCCCCUCUACGGUGGAGGUAAAAGCCCUACGUCUCAAUGCUCUUGGGAGCUUGAUGUCGAGUGGAAUAUGGAUUACAGUGAAUUUCUAACCCCUGCACCAGUGGGGAAGGGUGGCUUAUAUAGAGUGCGCUGCCCUUCACAACGGUUCGGUGCACAGGGGUGGAGUAGUGGCGAAUAAAUGCCUACGUUACAGGUAAGUAUGCCUUAAAUGCUAAUAAAGGUACAUGAAAACGUAUGACCGUUGCCCUCCAGGGGGGUUACGAUGUACAUAGUGGAAUCGAGUCGGUAAGUUUGAUACGCUCUGAGUGCUCAUCUCCGACUGGAUGAUGGAGGAGUCGUCACCGACUGGAUGAUGGGAAGUCCUUAAUUCAGUCGGAACUGACUAAGGGCCUUGUCCCUUAUGAAGGGUAGUCCUUGGGUAGGACCUAUAGGGCAGGCCUAUGACCCUACCCUAGGACUAUAACCCCAUCAGACAUUGUCUUAAUUCUUCUUUCGCAGUUGCGGAUGCUUGCGGGAGGGGGUAAUCAUAAGUGGGAUGCUUGUCCAAGUAAGGGCAGUACCCAAGCGCCGGUCCACCCACAUAUCAAACUAUCAAAGUAACGAACGCGAAUAUUAUGAACAUGAUGAAACUAGCAUGAUAGAAAUUCCCGUGUGUCCUCGGGAGCGCUUUUCCUCCUAUAAGACUUUGUUCAGGCUUGUCCCUUGCUACAAAAGGGAUUGGACCACUUUGCUGCACCGUUGCUACUACUUGUUACUUGUUACUUUUCACUUGCUACGUUUCACCUCACUACACAAUCACUUGUUACCGCUAGUUUCAGUGCUUGCAGUUAUUACCUUGCUGAAAACCAUUUAUAAGAGCCUUCUGCUCCUCGUUGGGUUCGACACUCUUACUUAUCGAAAGGACUACGAUUGAUCCCCUAUACUUGUGGGUCAUCACCUACCGAGCGGUAGUACCGCUCCCAUGAGCGGUAGUACCACUCUGUGCGGGCUGUGAGGCUUAACGGUUGGAUUUUUCCCCACCUAUAAAAGGGGGUCUUCUUCCCCAUUGAACCUUAUCUCUUUAGCUCGUAUUCUUCCCCCAUUGUUGACCUUCUUCGAGCUUGCUAACUCUCAAUCCCUCCAAUGAUUCUUGCUAGUUCUUGAGGGAAAAGGGAGAGGAGAUCUAGAUCCACAUUUCCACCAAUCACUUUCUCCUCUAAGUGAGGGGAACCACUUGGGUCUAGAUCUUGGAGUUCUUCGUGUUCUUCUUCGUUCUUCCUCUCAUUUUACUCCCUAGCAUUAGUUGCUUUGGUGGGAUUUGGGAGAGAAGGACUUGGGCACUCUGUGUGCCCUUGCCAUUGCAUUAGUUGCAUCGUUUGAGUUCUCCACGGUGAUAUGUGGAAGUGAAGUUUGAGAAGCUUAUUACCUUUGGUACUUAGUACCCUAGAUAUUGUUCUUCGUGGAUGCUUUGGCGUCCUAGAAGCUUGGUGGUGUCUCGGAGCUCAAUCAUUGUGGUGUAAAGCUCCGGGCAAGCGUCGGGGUCUCCAAUUAGGUUGUGGAGAUUGCCCCGAGCAAUUUGUACGGGUAUCGGUGACCGCCCCCAAGGUUUGCCAUUUGUACGGGUUCGGUGACCGCCCCCAAGGGUCCCUUAGUGGAAUCACGACAUCUUGCAUUAUGCGAGAGCGUGAGGAGAUUACGGUGGCCUUAGUGGUAUCUUGGGGAGCAUUGUGCCUCCACACCGCUCCAACGAAGAUUAGCAUCCGCAAGGGUGUGAACUUCGGGAUACAUCAUCGUCUCCGCGUGCCUCGGUUAUCUCUUACUCGAACCCUUUACUUAUGCACUUUACUUUGUGAUAGCCAUAUUGUUUAUUGUCAUAUAUCUUGCUAUCACUUAGUUGUAUAUCUUGCUUAGCAUAAGUUGUUGGUGCACAUAGGUGAGCCUAGUUGUUGUAGGUUUUGUGCUUGACAAAUUAAAUGUUAGUUUUAUUCCGCAUUUGUUCAAGCCUAAACCGUAAUUAUUUUAAAGCGCCUAUUCACCCCCCGAGGCGACAUCCACGUCCUUUCAACGGGUAGCAUAGAUACCUCCAUAAACAGUGCCUUUAGAACGGUUCGUGUUCAAUCAUUGAGCCACUAUUGCGCCCAAGCUAUAAGUUUUAUCAUUAUAAAGGGCUUCGUGCAAAACCGCAAGAUCUGGGGAGCUAAGAGCUCCAGCUUUCCCACGUCCAAUCAAACACUUUCCCACCAAUAAUGAGAAAUGCCGAAGCACGGGAAAAUGAAUGCUAGCAACUCUAGCGCAAGAUACUCCUCUCUCCUCUCCUACAGAAAUAGUAUCAAUGAAAGCCUCCAAGUCCCAUGGACGAGGUUCAUGAAUAUCCCCAACAUAAGGUAAUUUGCAGACAUUGCAAAAAUCCUAAAGUGACAUGCGCUGGGGGAUAUCAUAUAACUUGAACUCAACCAUAGGAGGGUUCUUCCUUGGAUAGAAGUUAAAGCUUUGCACGAAAAAAUUAGUGAGGAGGAGGUAUUGUGGGCACUUAUCUUCAACGAAAGCGGUAAGGCAUGUGUUCUUCACCAAGUAAUAAAAAACCUCAUAAAGUCCGGUGGCACGUAAGAACACAUCGCUUGGCCACUCACACGCUCGAACUUCUGCAACUCGGGGAACCGGAUACUUGGGUUACUUCUUCUCAUUUUCAUCAUCCUUGGGGUCACGGCUUGAAGAGCCUCUUAGGAACCUCCUCAUCUUUUGCUUUUUCUUUCUCUGAAAAUUUCUGAAAUUUUUAGUGACUCAAAGGAAAAGUGAACAAGGCUCAACGAAACUCAUAGCAACUACUCCUUCAAGUGCCUAGAAGCCAUAUCAUGCAUCAAAACUACUUGGGACCAGCUAAAAUUAGCAUGCAAAGCUCAAGAACAGGGUCACUGAUGACCCACAAGUAUGGGGGAUCUGUCGUAGUCCUUUCGAUAAGUAAGAGUGUCGAACCCAACGAGGAGCAAAAGGAUCUGACAAGUGGUUUUCAGCAAGGUAAUAUCUGCAAGCACUGAAAUUAUCGGUAACAAGUAGUUGUGUGGUGAGAUGAUUCGUAGCAAGUAGCAAGUAGCAAAAGUAACAACGAUGCAGCAAAGUGGCCCAAUCCCUUCUGUAGAAAGGGACAAGCCUGGACAAAGUCUUAUAGGAGGUAAAACACUCCCGAGGACACAUGGGAUUUUCUGUCAAGCUAGUUUUCAUCAAGUUCAUAUGAUUUGCGUUCGUUACUUUGAUAGUUUGAUAUGUGGGUGGACCGGCGCUUGGGUGAUGCACUUACUUCGACAAGCAUCCCACUUAUGAUUAACCCCUCCCACAAGCAUCCGCAACUACGAAAUAAUAAUUAAGAGAAAGUCUAACCAUAGCAUUAAACUAGUGGAUCCAAGUCAGCCCCUUACGAAGCAAUGCAUAAACUAGGGUUUAAGCUUCUCUCACUCUAGCAACCCAUCAUCUACUUACUACUUCCCAGUACCUUCCUCUAGGCCCAAAAAAUGGUGAAGUGUUAUGUAGUCGACGUUCACAUAACACCACUAGAGGAAAAACAACAUACAACACAUCAAAUUAUCGAACGAAUACCAAAUUCACAUGACUACUUAUAGCAUGACUUAUCCCAUGUCCUCAGGAACAAAAGUAACUACUCACAAAGCAUAAUCAUAUUCAUGACCAGAGAGGUAAUGAAUAGCAUCAAAGAUCUGAACAUAAACUCUUCCACCAAGUAAUCCAACUAGCAUCAACUACAAAGAGUAAUUAACACUACUAGCAACCUUACAAGUACCAAUCGGAGUCGCGAGAUGGAGAUUGGUUACAAGUGAUGAACUAGGGUUUGGAGAUGAUAUGGUGCUGAUGAAUAUGUUGAUGGUGAUGAGUCCCCUCCGAUGAGAGGAGUGUUGGUGAUGACAAUGGCGACGAUUUCCCCCUCCGGGGGAAGUUUCCCCGGCAAAAUCGUCCUGCCAGAGCUCUAGAUUGGUUCUGCUCAAGUUCCGGCUCGUGGCGGCGGUGAAUCCUCCGAAGAGCCUCCUCUUGAUUUUUCUAGACCGAAGCCCUUCUUGUAGGAAAAGGGGGGAUCCAGAGGGCCAAGUGGGAGCCCACAAGCCCCCUAGGCACGGCAAGGGGGGCCCGCGCCUAGUAGGCUUGUGGCCUCCUGCUCGCGCCCCUCUGGUACUUCUUCGGCCCAGUAUUUUUUAUAAAUCCCAAAAAAAAUCCUCGUUGAUUUUCACGGCUUUUGGAGUUGUGCAGAAUAGGUAUCUCAAACUUGCUCCUUUUUCAGGCCAGAAUUCCAGCUGUCGGCAUUCUCCCUCUUCAUGUAAACCUUGCAAAAUAAGAGAGAAAAGGCAUAAGUAUUGUACCGUGAAGUGUAAUAACAGCCCAAAAAGCAAUAAAUAUCAACAUGAAAGCAUGAUGCAAAAUAGACGUAUCAACUCCUCCAAGCUUAGACCUUGCUUGCCCUCAAGCGAAAGCCGAGAUCAAUAAAUAUGCCCACAUGUUUAGAGAGAGAGGUGUCGACAAAACAAGAUACAAACAUGCAGGCAUCAUGAUCAUUAUUAGAACAACAAUACCGUCAUAUCAUCUCUUAUGCUAAAGUGACAAUUCCUUCACAAAGUAAAGCAUGGAUCAAGAGCCUUACCGAGAAUUAACAACCGAUAGCCUUUAGUCAAUGAAGCAAUUGCAAUUUAUAACAACAUCGGAAAGAGUCAAAUAAGAGCUUGUAAAGCAAAUCCACAUACUCAAUCAUCUUUUCGUUCUCUACAAUUGCUACAACUCACGUGGUACUCAUGAGAUCAAAGUUUCAGCUGGACACAAAGAAAGAUAGGGGCUUAUAGUUUCGCCUCCCAACCAUUUACCUCAAGGGUAAUGUCAACAAUAAUAAUUCAUGAAUACUUACUUCCAAGUUGACAUAUGAAUAUAGAUCUUUCCCAAGCAUAUGACGUUAGCCAAGAUAAAGGCGAAAUAAGGAAUUGGUGUAGAUCACCAUGACUCUUUCAAGGGCAAAAAUUAAAGAUACAAGAUAGGCCCUUCGCAGAGGGAAGCAGAAGUUGUCAUGCGCUUUUGAGGUUUGGAUGUGUGUCCUCUUAGUGCGGAGGAACGUCACUUUAUAUUGCCCCCUGUGAUAAAGAACUUUAUUAUGCAUUCCGUCGCUUUUAUGUCUUCCUCAUCACAGGUUCGUACAAAGCUUAUUUUCCACACACUAAUAGAUCAUACAUAUUAGGGAGCAAUUUUUACUGCUUGCACCGAUGAUAACUUACUUGAGGGAUCUUAUUCAAUCCAUAGGUAGGUAUGGUGGACUCUCAUGGCAAAAUUGGGUUGAAGGUUUAUGGAUGCACAAGUAGUAUCUCUACUUGAUUCGAGAGUUUUGGCUAAUAUGAGGUGGAAGCAAUCGUCACAUGCUAAGGGAUCUCUAGUCAUAUAACAUUGUUCGUAACCAAGCAAACACAAUUCAUUAUGUUGUCUUCCUUGUCCAACAUCAACUUCUAAGCAUGUAAUAGUUUAGUGAGUGUUCACAAUCAUAGAUGGUGUCAAAGAUGAUAUAUUUAUAUGUGAACCUCUCCUUCUUUAUCACUUCCUAUUAAUUGCAACAAUGACCAAGAUCUACGUUUGUCUACCCUCAACAAGUUUGAAUCAUCAUUCUUUUUAUAUGUGAAGCCAUCACUUCCCAUAAGAUCAUUGCAUGAUCUUUCAUGCUUUUGUUCUUUUCUCAUUCUGUUGAUCAUGGCAUGAGGAAAGGCCCUUAACUAAGAGACUCUUUAUUAUAUGGCUCACGAGCUCGAAUACAUCGGGGGUGACACAAAGCAAAACUCAAGCCUAAAACACUAAGACCUUUAGUCUACUAGAGAAAGAUAAAACAGAAAAGGAACGAACUAAGAAAAGGUAAAGGCAAAAGAUGUGAUGGUGAUACGAUACCGGGGCAACUCCCCCAAGCUUGGCACAUGCCAAGGGGAUUGCCCAUACCCAUGCUUAGUUGUCUUCCUUUGGAGGUGAUGGUGGCGGAGUUGUUGCAGAGGUCUUGAACUUGUUUAAUUUCCACUUGAGCAUAAAAUUCUGCUCCCUCAGAUCAUCAUUUUCCUCUUCAAGCCUCAACAUCCUUUGGCAUAAUUCAUGCUUACUCUCCUGCAAGAAACGAGAAGGGAUAAACAAAGUCUUAGGCUUCUUCCUUGAGUCAGGGAGGCUCGACUUCUUGAACUCCACAUGUGUGUGUCCAAGUUGAGGUAGAGGAGCCUCCUCCUCUUCGGAACUUGUUUGUUCUUUCCCCUUGGGAUCAUAAUCUUCUUCCUUAUUAGUGGUCCAGCCAUAAGGAUCCAAGUCCCCAUAGACCUUGGGGUUAGCAAGGUAAUCGGCCACAUAGCUCUCCCCCUCUGAAUCUUGAGAAGACAUCUUGCCCUAAAUCUGCAGCAGAAAACAGGCUCGAAACGAAAACAGAGGAAAUUUGCGUGAUACGAGGGUCAGACCUUUCGGGAGAAUAUAUAAUGAUUUUUUCCAGACCAGAAGAAGUACUCCGCAAGAAAACGGAGUCCGGGAGGCACACGAGGUGGCCACAAGCCCCCCAGGCGCGGCCAGGGGGGUGGCCCGCGCCUGGCAGGCUUGUUGCCUCCUCGUGCGCUUUCCGGACUACUUCAAUUUUUUCUGUUUUUAUAAAUAUUCCAAAACAGAGAAAAAUUCCUACUCGAAAAGUUUUGGAGUCUAUUUACGUACCGAAUCACAUACCUCUUCAUUUUCGGAGUCAAAAACAGGCUGAUAAAUAUCCCUUAGGUACUCCUCUAGAGUUAUGAUAUUGAUAAUAUUGCUUUCAACAUUUAUGGGAGUACCUAAGAUUUAAUGCUUGAUUCUCUGCCCAUUUACCACUCUCGGACAAUUACCUUCCGUGUUGUUGAUCUUGAUAGCACCGGAACGAUAUACUUCCUCAACAAUAUAGGGACCUUCCCAUUUAGAGAGAAGCUUGCCUGCAAAAAAUCUUAAACGAGAAUUAUAUAGCAAGACAUAAUCACCUACAUUGAACUCACGCUUUUGUAUCCUUUUAUCAUGCCACCUCUUAACCUUUUCUUUUAACAACUUGGCAUUCUCAUAUGCCUGAGUUCUCCAUUCAUCAAGCGAGCUAAUAUCAAAUAACAUCUUCUCACCAGCAAGUUUGAAAUCAAAGUUGAGCUCUUUGAUUGCCCAAUAAGCCUUAUGCUCUAGCUCAAGAGGUAAAUGACAUGCUUUGCCGUACACCAUUUUGUACGGAGACAUGCCCAUGGGAUUCUUAUAGGCAAUUCUAUAAGCCCACAGUGCAUCAUCGAGCUUCUUAGACCAAUUCUUUCUAGACCUAUUGACAGUCUUUUGCAGAAUUAGUUUAAUCUCUCUAUUGCUUAGCUCUACUUGACCACUUGACCGAGGGUGAUAGGGAGACGCAAUUAUAUGGUUGACAUCGUACUUAGCAAGCGUUUUACGGAAAGCACCAUGAAUGAAAUGUGAACCACCGUCCGUCAUUAGAUAUCUAAGGACUCCAAAUCUAGGGAAAAUAACUUCUUUAAGCAUCCUGAUAGAGGUGUUAUGAUCAGCACUACUAGUGGGGAUAGCUUCUACCCACUUAGUGACGUAAUCAAUAGCAACUACGAUAUGAGUAUACCCGUUGGAUUUUGGAAAAGGUCCCAUAUAAUCAAAGCCCCAGGCAUCAAAUGGUUCAAUGACAAGUGAAUAGUUCAUAGGCAUUUCCUGACGUUUACCGAUAUUACCUAUUCUUUGACAUUCGUCACAACACAAGACAAACUUACGUGCAUCCUUGAAGAGAGUGGGCCAAUAGAAACCUGAUUGCAAUACCUUGUGUGCAGUUCUAUCUCCCGCAUGGUGUCCUCCGUAGGCCUCGGAGUGAUACUUCUGUAGGAUUUGUCCCUGUUCAUGUUCAGGUACACAACGUCUAAUAACACCAUCUACUCCUUCCUUAUAAAGGUGAGGAUCAUCCCAAAAGUAAUGUCUCAAGUCAAAGAAGAAUUUCUUCUUUUGCUGGUAUGUGAAACUAGGUGGUAUAUAUUUGGCAACGAUAUAGUUUGCAUAAUCAGCAUACCACGGUGCACUACGUGAAGCAUUGAUGACAUUCAAUUGCUCAUCAGGAAAGCUAUCAUCAAUAGGUUGUGGGUCAUCAAGAACAUUCUCCAACCUAGACAAGUUAUCUGCUAUGGGGUUAUCAGCACCCUUCUUGUCGACAACAUGCAAAUCAAAUUCUUGUAGCAAGAGAACCCAUCUGAUGAGUCUAGGUUUAGCGUCUUUCUUCUGCAUGAGGUACUUAAUAGCAGUAUGAUGAGUGUGAAUAGUGAAUUUGGAAUCAACUAUGUAAGAUUUGAACUUUUCACAUGCAAACACGACUGCUAAAAAUUCCUUUUACGUAGUAGCAUAGUUUCUUUGGGCACUAUCUAGAGUUUUACUAGCAUAGUGAAUAACAUUCAACUUCUUAUCAACUCUUUGCCCUAGGGCAGCACCAACAGCAUAAUCACUAGCAUCACACAUGAUUUCAAAAGGUAAGUUCCAAUCAGGUGGUUGAACAAUAGGCACAGUUAUCAAAGCCUUCUUAAGUAUUUCGAAGGCUUCCUCACAAUCAUCGUCAAAAACAAAAGGAAUAUCCAUUUGCAAGAGAUUGGUAAGAGGCCUAGAAAUCUUAGAGAAGUCUUUAAUGAACCUUCUAUAGAAACCAGCAUGACCAAGGAAACUUCUUAUACCUUUGAUAUCUGUGGGGUAUGAUAUUUUCUCGAUUGCAUCAACCUUAGCCUUAUCGACUUCAAUACCUCUUUUAGAAAUUUUAUGUCCUAAGACGAUGCCUUCAUUAACCAUAAAGUGGAACUUCUCCCAAUUCAAGACAAGAUUGGUAUCUUUACAUCUCUGCAAGACUCAAUCAAGUUUGCUGAGGCAAUCAUCAAAAGAAGACCUAUAAACAGAGAAGUCGUCCAUGAAAACCUCGACAAUCUUUUCACAAAAGUCAAUGAAUAUAGCCAUCAUACAUCUUUGAAAGGUGGCAGGUGCAUUACAUAAGCCAAAAGGCAUACGUCUAUAAGCAAAGGUACCGAAAGGACAGGUGAAAGCGGUUCUCUCCUGAUAAGAUUGUGCAACUGGUAUUUGGGAGAAACCAGAAUAACCGUCUAGAAAGCAGAAGUAUGUGUGUUUAGACAGUCUUUCUAGCAUUUGGUCGAUAAAAGGCAAAGGGUAAUGAUCUUUCCUAGUGGCCUUAUUCAAUUUCCUAAAAUCGAUCACCAUCCUAUAGCCAGUAAUAAUUCUCUGUGGGAUCAAUUCAUCCUUAUCAUUAGGGACAACGGUAAUACCUCCCUUCUUAGGGACACAAUGCACCGGACUCACCGAAUCACUAUGAGCAACAGGAUAGAUAAUACCUGCUUCCAGGAGUUUUAGUAUUUCUUUUCUUACUACCUCUUUCAUCUUAGGAUUUAAUCUCCGUUGAUGAUCAGCAACUGGCUUGGAAUCAGGAUCAGUUUUAAUCUUGAGCUGGCAUAGAGUGGGACUAAUGCCCUUAAGAUCAUCAAGAGUAUAUCCAAUAGCAGCACGGUGCUUCCUCAGAGUUUUUAGUAACUUCUUUUCUUCAUGCUCUGAGAGGCUAGCACUGAUUAUAACAGGAUAUAUCUCUUUUUCAUCAAGAUAGACAUACUUAAGAGUAUCAGGCAACUGUUUAAGCUCGAACACAGGAUCAACCUUUGGUGGGGGUGGAUCCCCAAGUAGUUCAACAGGCAGAUUAUUCUUAAGGAUAGGAUAUUGUUCUAAGACAACUCUAUCUAUCUCAUCCCUUUCAUCCAUAUGCAUAUCAUUUUCAUGCUCAAGCAAGUAUUGCUCUAAGGAAUCAGUAGGAGGCACGGGAAUAGAGGCUAAGGCAACUGUUUCAUCCUUACUAGGCAACUCUUUUUCAUCAGGUUGUCUACCAAACUUGGAGAAAUUGAACUCGUGUGACACACCUUCAAAGCCAACAGUGAUAGUUUGCUUCUCACAGUCAAUAUGAGCAUUGACAGUAUUGAGAAAAGGUCUGCCAAAUAUGAUGGGACAAAAGCUAUCUAGGGUGGUAGCAAGAACGAGGAAAUCAGCAGGAUACUUCGUUUUACCACACAAGACUUCAACAUCCCUAACAAUUCCCAAAGGGCAGAUAGUAUCUCUAUUGGCAAUCUGAAUAGUGACAUCAAUGGGUUCUAUCUCGACAGGUGCAAUCUCGUCUUUAAUUUCAUCAUAUAAGGAUUGAGGUAUUGCACUAACACUAGCACCCACGUCACAUAAACCAUGAUAACAAUGAUCUCCUAUCUUAACAGAAACAACAGGCUUGCCAACAACAGGCCUAUGUUUGUCUCUAGCAUGUGGUUUAGCAAUUCUAGCAGCAUCUUCACAAAAGUGAAUAUCAUGGCCAUCAACAUUGUCGGACAGGAGAUCUUUGAUAAUAGCAAUGCUAGGUUCAACUCUAAUUUGCUCAGGGGGUGUAGGUGUUCUAAUGUAGCCUCUACGUAUCACAGUUGAAGCUUUAGAAUGAUCCUUUAUCCUAACACGGAAAGGUGGUUUCUCAAUGUAAGCACUAGGAAUAAUAGAAUCAUUAUAGGCAAUGACUUUCUCUUCAACUUGAUUGGGUUUAACUACAUUGACUCCUAAGGGAGGAUAAUAUUUAGACCACUUCUCUUUGGGGAGAUCAAUAUGAGCAGCAAAUGAUUCACACAAUGAAGCUACUAUCUCAGAGUCAAGUCCAUACUUAGCGCUAAAAUCACAAAAAGUAUUUGUUUCAACAAAGGAUUUAACGCAAUCAAUCUUGAAAUUCAUACCUGACUCCUUACCUUCAUCAAGCUCCCAAUCUUCAGAGUUGCGUUUAAUUCUUUCCAAUAAAUUCCAUCUGAAGUUAAUAUCUCUCUUCAUAAAAGAACCGGUACAAGAAGUGUCAAGCAUGGUGCGAUCAUCAUGAGAAUGCCGAGCAUAGAAGUUCUGAAUGAUAAUAUCUCUCGAGAGCUCAUGAUUGGGGCAUGAAUAUAAAAUUUAUUUAAGCCUCCCCCAAGAUUGAGUGAUGCUUUCUCUGUCACGAGGCCAAAAAUUAUAAAUAUAAUUCUGAUCACGAUGUACUAGAUGGAUAGGAUAAAACUUUUGAUGAAAUUCCAAUUUCAACCAAUUGUAGUUCCAUGAUCCAGUAUCAUCACAUAGCCUAUACCAUGUCAACGCCUUAUCCCUCAAAGAUAAGGGAAAGACCUUCUUCUUGACCUCAUCCUCGCGCAAACCUGCAAGCUUAAAUAAACCACAAACUUCAUCUACAUAGAUUAGAUGCAAGUCUGGAUGUGAUGUUCCAUCUCCUGUAAAAGGAUUACCAGCAGUUUCUCAAGCAUACCCGAAGGAAAUUCAUAGCAAAUAUUUUCAGUAGGUGCAGCAGGUUGAGGAGCAGCUCGUUGUGCUUUUGUUCGAGGUGAAGAUACCCCGAACAAGCCCCUCAAAGGAUUAGUUUCGAUAGUGAUAAGUGACAAUAAAUUCAGCACACUAUAUAAAUGUUUCCUUACCAAAUUCCACUUACCAAAGGCACUUCACUUCCCCGGCAAUGGCGCCAGAAAAGAGUAUUGAUGACCCACAAGUAUAGGGGAUCUAUCGUAGUCCUUUCAAUAAGUAAGAGUGUCGAACCCAACGAGGAGCAGAAGGAUCUGACAAGUGGUUUUCAGCAAGGUAAUAUCUGCAAGCACUGAAAUUAUUGGUAACAAGUAGUUGUGUGGGGAGAUGAUUCCUAGCAAUUAGCAAUUAGAAAAAGUAACAACGGUGCAGCAAAGUGGCCCAAUUCCUUUUGUAGCAAGGCACAAGCCUGGACAAAGUCUUAUAGGAGGUAAAACGCUCCCGAGGACACAUGGGAAUUUCUAUCAAGCUAGUUUUCAUCAAGUUCAUAUGAUUUGCGUUCGUUACUUUGAUAGUUUUAUAUGUGGGUGGACUGGCGCUUGGGUACUGCCCUUACUUGGACAAGCAUCCCACUUAUGACUAACCCCUCUCGCAAGAAUCCGCAACUACGAAAGAAGAAUUAAGACAAAGUCUAACCAUAAAAUUAAACUAGUGGAUCCAAAUCAGCCCCUCACGAAGCAACGCAUAAACUAGGGUUUAAGCUUUUGUCACUCUAGCAACCCAUCAUCUACUUACUACUUCCCAAUGCCUUCCUCUAGGCCCAAAUAAUGGUGAAGUGUUAUGUAGUCUACGUUCACAUAACACCACUAGAGGAAAAACAACAUAUAACACAUCAAAUUAUCGAACGAAUACCAAAUUCACAAGACUACUUAUAGCAUGACUUAUCCCAUGUCCUCAGGAACAAAAGUAACUACUCAUAAAGCAUAAUCAUAUUCAUGACCAGAGAGGUAAUGAAUAGAAUCAAAGAUCUGAACAUAAACUCUUCCACCAAGUAAUCCAACUAGCAUCAACUACAAAGAGUAAUUAACACUACUAGCAACCUUACAAGUACCAAUCGGAGUCGCGAGACGGAGAUUGGUUACAAGUGAUGAACUAGGGUUUGGAGAUGAGAUGGUGCUGAUGAAGAUGUUUAUGGUGAUGAGUCCCCUCCGCUGAGAGGAGUGUUGUUGAUGACGAUGGCGACGAUUUCCCCCUCCGGGAGGGAAGUUUCCCCGGAAGGAUCGUCCUGCCGAAGCUCUAGAUUGGUUCUGCUCAAGUUCCGCCUCGUGGCGGUGGAGAAUCCUCCGAAAAGCCUCCUCUUGAUUUUUUCCAGACCAAAACCCUUCUUGUAGCAAAAGGGGGGAGCCAGAGGGACAAGUGGGAGCCCACAAGCCCCCUAGGCGCGUCCAGGGGGGCCGCGCCUAGCAGGCUUGUGGCCUCGUGCUGGCGCCCCUCUGGUACUUCUUCGGUCCAGUAUUUUUUAUAAAUCCCAAAAAAAAUCCUCGUUGAUUUUCACGGCUUUUGGAGUUGCGCAAAAUAGGUCUCUCAAACUUGCUCCUUUUUCAGGCCAGAAUUCCAGCUGCCGGCAUUCUCCCUCUUCAUGUAAACCUUGUAAAAUAAGAGAGAAAAGGCAUAAGUAUUGUACCGUGAAGUGUAAUAACAGCCGAAAAAGCGAUAAAUAUCAACAUGAAAGCAUGAUGCAAAAUGGACGUAUCAGUCACCAAGGCAGCAAUAAUAACAAUGAAUAAGGCACUAGAGCAAAAACUAAUUGGACCAAUUGAGUAGUCAUAUACCAAGGAACAAUUCCCCCAAAACAGUUUGGUGAAGGGGGAUUUGCACAAGGAGAUCGAAAAUCGCAGCAAGAAGAGCAAGAACAUGGGUUUGAGCUAUAGAAUGAAUUUUUCUGGAUGUAGGAGAAGGAGAUGGGAGCUGGAAUAAGUGGAGGGGGCCACGUGGGCCCGACAAGCCUAGUAGGCGCGACCAAGGGGUGCCCGCGCCUCCUGGGCUUGUGGCCCACUGGUGCAUCCGCCUGACUAGGUCUCCGUCUCAGAAUUUUUCAAAAAAUCCAGAAAAAAUCAUACUUGAUUUUCAGGGCAUUUGAAGAACUUUUAUUUUCGGGACACUUUUCUAUGGGACGCAAAAAGCAGAAAACAGGAAAAACUAAAGUUAUAUCUAUCAUUUUUCUUCUAAGAAACCGAAGGUAAAGGUUUGGAACACAGGGUUGUGACUCUUAGAUUCAUCCAUCUCAUGGUCAUCAAAAGAAAUCUGUCAAUGAGGUUGAUCAAGGCUCCUUGACAGACUUUUUCGAAUCGCAUAAAAAAAUGGAGAAUUUUCAAAUAGUCACUAGGUUACCUCAAUGGGGAUGUGCAUAUCCCCAACAAGCAAAUCAUACUUCAUCUUAACAUUAGGUAUAGGGCAUUCAAAGCUCCGAGUAAGAAUCGAUGAAGUUUUUUUAAAUAGCAUUGAUGCAAUGUACUCGAUAUUGUUUCUUCGAAAAGUGCACCGUAUGCUCAUUACCAUUGACGUGGAAAGUGACAUUGCCUUUGUUGCAAUCAAUAACAGCCCCUGCAGUGUUUAAAAAGGGUAUUCAAAGGAUGACCGCCAUGGCAUCAUCCUUGGGAAUAUCCAAAAUAGCAAAGUCUGUCAAGAUAGUAACGUUAGCAACCACAACAGGCACAUCCUCGCAAAUGCCGAUAGGAAAAGCAGUUGAUUUGUCCGCCAUUUGCAAGGAGAUUUCAGUGGGUGUCAACUUCUCCAAUUCAAGUCUACGAUAAAGAGAGAGAGGCAUAACACUGACACCAGCUCCAAGAUCGCAUAAAGCGGUUCUAACAUAAUUGCCUUUCAUGGAGCAAGGUAUAGUGGGCACUUCGGGAUCACCUAGUUUCUUAGGAGUUCCACCCUUGAAGGUGUAAUUGGCAAGCAUGGUGGAAAUCUCAACCUCAGGUAUCCUCCUCAUAUUAGUCACAAUAUCCUUCAUGUACUUAGCAUAAGGAUACAUUUUGAGCAUAUCUGUCAAACGCAUUUGGAGAAAGAAAGGUCUAAUCAUUUCAACAAAGCGCUCAAAAUCCUCGUCAUCCUUUUUCUUGGAUGGUUUGGGAGGAAAGGGCAUGGGUUUCUGAACCCAUGGUUCCCUUUCUUUACCAUGCUUCCUAGCAAUGAAGUCGUUCUUAUCGUAUCUCCUAUUCUUAGGUUGUGGGUUAUCAAUAUCAGUUGGUUCAAUCUCCACAUCCUUAUCAUUGCUAGGUUGAGCAUCAUCAUGAACACCACUAUCGAUAUUAUCACUAGGCUCGUGUUCAUCACCAGAUUGUGUUUCGGCAUCGGAAACAGAGACAUCGUUUGGAUUCUCGGGUGUAACAGCAGCAGGGUUGCUAGUGUGCAAGUUCCUAUCAUCUUUCUUUUUAUUCCUAGGAUGACUAGGUGCAUCAGAGCUAACUCCUUGAGAAUCUUGUUCAAUUCUCUUAGGAUGACCCUCAGGAUACAAAGGUUCCUGGGUCAUUCUACCGCCUCUAGUGACGACUCUAACAGAAUUGUCAUUCAACUCAUUGAGCAAGUCAUUUUGAGCUUUAAGUACUUGUUCUACCUGAGUGGUGACCAUAGAGGCAUGUUUACUCAAAAGCCUAAGGUCAUUGACAUUUCUAUCCACACAAGCACUUAAAUGACUAAGCAUGCGAGGAUUCUGUUCCAAUUGUCUGCUGACAUAAUCAUUGAAACUUUGUUGUUUGUCAACAAAGUUAUCAAAUUCAUCUAGGCAUAAGCUAGCAGGCUUAUCAAAAGGAAUAUCACUCUCAUUGAAUCUACAAAGAGUAUUUACCUCUACUACCUGUGUCGGGUUAUCAAGACCAUGGAUUUCUUCGAUAGGUGGUAGAUUUUUGACAUCUUCAGAUUUAAUGCCUUUCUCUUUCAUAUAUUUCUUAGCUUCUUGCAUAUCUUCAGGACUAAGGAAUAGAAUACCUCUUUUCUUCGGAGUUGGCUUCGGAGGUGGUUCGGGAAUAGUCCAAGCAUUCUCAUUGCAUAAUAUAUUAUUCAAUAGAAUCUCAGCUUGUUCCAUAGUUUGUUUCGUGAAAAGACAAUCAGCACAACUAUCUAGGUGGUCCCUAGAAGCAUCAAUUAGUCCAUUAUAGAAGAUAUCAAGUAUUUCAUUCUUCUCAAGAGGGUGAUCAGGCAAAGCAUUCAGCAGCUGGACAAGCCUCCCCCAAGCUUGUGGGAGACUCUCUUCUCCAACUUGCAUAAAGUUAUUUAUUUCCUGCAAGGCAGCUUGUUUCUUAUGGGUAGGAAAAUAUUUCUCAGAGAAGUAGUAGAUCAUAUCCUGGGGACUACGCACACAACCAGGAGCAAGAGAAGUGAACAAAGUCUUAGCAUCAUCCUUUAGCGAGAAAGAAAACAACUUAAGGAUAUAGUAGUGGCGGAUCUUUUCCUCACUCGUGAAUAGGGUGGCUAUAUCGUGCUCCUUAGUAAGGUGCCCUACAACCGUUUCAGACUCAUAACCAUGAAAAGGAUCAGAUUUGACGAAAGUGAUUAACUCAGGGUCGACAGAGAAUUCAUAAUCCUUAUCGGUCACAAAGAUAGGCGAAGUAGCAAACUUCGGGUUGUAUUUCAUCCUAGCGUACAGAGAUUUUUCUUUCCACUUGCGCAGUAAUUUCUCAAGAUCAUAGCUAUCCAUACAAGCAAGAAAGUCCUCAGCUAUCUCUCCCUCCAUAACAUAACCCUCAGGUAUAUCAGGCAAUUCAUAUCCAGGAGAGCUAGUUCUAACAGGUGAAAUAGCAGGUUCUACUUCAAUAAUCUCAUCAGUUUCAGAAGUAUCAUCACAUUCAGCAGCAACUCUAGCAAUUUGUGCAUCUAGGAAUGCACCUAGUGGCAAAGUAGUAUCAAGCAAAGCAUCGUCACAAGCAUCAUGGAUAGCAGAAGUAGCAUCAUCAAGCACAUGCGACAUAUCAAAAAAUUUAGCAGGAGGUGGUGUCACAAACUUACUCAUAACUGAAGGUGAAUCAAGUGCAGAGCUAGAUGGCAGUUCCUUACCUGUCCCCGUAGUUGAGGGCAAGACUUUACUUUUUGGAUCUCUCGGAUUCCUCAUAGUGAUCAACAGACAUAAAUCCCAAGUGUCUCAGAGAAUAGUGAUAUGCUUCCCCGGCAACGGCGCCAGAAAAUAGUCUUGGUAACCCACAAGUAUAGGGGAUCGCAACUGUUUUCGAGGGUAGAGUAUUCAACCCAAAUUUGUUGAUUCGACACAAGGGGAAGCCAAAGAAUAUUCUCGAGUAUUAGCAGUUGAGUUGUCAAUUCAACUGCACCUGAAAGACUUAGUAUCUGCAGCACAGUAUCAGUAGCAAAGUAGUGUCAUAGCAACACUAGCAAUGGUAACAGUAGCAGCAGUGACAGCAGUAGCGGUAACAGUAGCAGUAGUGACAGCAAUAGCAGCAAAGUAACGUAGCAAGGACCAGUAGGAAAAACUCGUAGGCAUUGGAUCGGUGAUGGAUAAUUAUGUCGGAUGACAUUCAUCAUGCAACAGUUAUAACAUGGAGAGAUAUGUAACUAGCUCCAGUUCGUCAAUGUAAUGUAGGCAUGUCUUCCGUAUAUAGUCAUAUGUGCUUAUGAAAAGAACUUGCAUGACAUCUAUUGUUCAUCCCUCCCAGGCAGCGGGGUCCUAAUUUAAACUACGGGAUAUUAAGGUUCUCCUUUUAAUAGAGAACCGGAACAAAGCAUUAGCACAUAGUGAAUACAUGAACUCCUCAUACUAUGGUCAUCUUCGGGAGUGGUUCCGGCUAUUGUCACUCCGGGGUUGCCGGGUCAUAACACAUAGUAGGUGACUACAACUUGUAAGAUAGGAUCAAGAACACACAUAUAUUGACGAGAACAUAAUAGGUUCAGAUCUGAAAUCAUGGCACUCGGGUCCUAGUGACAAGCAUUAAGCAUGGCAAAGUAGUAGCAACAUCAAUCUCAGAACAUAGUGGAUACUAGGGAUCAAUCCCCAUCAAAACUAACUUGAUUACAUGAUAGAUCUCAUCCAACCCAUCACCGUCCAGCAAGCCUACGAUGAGAUUACUCACGAACGGUGAAGAGCAUCAUGGAAUUGGCGAUGAAGGAAGGUUGAUGAUGACGACGGUGACGCUCUCCCCUCUCCGGAGCCCAGAACGGACUCCAGAGCUGCCCUCCAAAGGUAGAACCGGUGGUGUCCGCGCCUCCGUAUCGUAAAACGCGAUGAACUCUUCUCCUUGAUUUUUUUCGGGCAAAAGGGACUAAAUAGAGCUGGAGUUGGAGGCGGUGGAGCCCUGAGGGCCCCACAAGCCUGCUAGGCGCGGCCAGGGGGCGCGCCUCCUGGGCUUGUGGGCUUCUCGCUCCACGCCUCCGGUUGAUUCUUGCGCCAGUAUUUUUUAUAUAUUCCACAAAAAAUCCUCAUAAAUUUCUAGGUCAUUCCAAGAACUUUUAUUUCUGCGCAAAAACAACACCAUGGCAAUUCUGCUGAAAACAGCGUUAGUCCGGGUUAGUUCCAUUCAAAUCAUGCAAAUUAGAGUCCAAAACAAGGACAAAAGAGUUUGGAAAAGUAGAUAUGAUGGAUACGUAUCAGCCUAUAGUUGCGAUAUGAGGGCUACAAAAGCAGAAAUCCACGAGAAUACUGUAGAAGAUUUAUCAACAACCGAAGAGAAUCGGCUAAGUAAAAAGGAUGGAUAGACCAAACAACCAGAAAUAGCAUCCCAAUCGGCAGAUCUAGUCGAAAAUCCAGGCAUAAUCGAGAGAGAUUCACCUACAACCGAGCCAAAUCGAGCCUACACAACCUAGACUGAAGGAACGAGCAGCAAUCGACAAUGGACAAUAACGCGUUGACCCACAGAUCUACUUCGAUCCAUCCAAACUACUAACAGCAAUCAAUCAGAAGGAUAAAAACCUACAAGGCCUGAUGAUAAUAAUCUGUGAAGAGGAUAAAAAUCUACAAGGCCAGCACGCACCCGAUCCGGCCGCAGCAGGCAGAGGUUCCACGACAUGGAAGGGUGUCACCGCAGUUCGAUCACGCGGCCCGAGGGAUCUGGGGGGAUCGGAUACCUGGUGGAGGCGGAGGGUGUCGAGGAGCGCGAUGAGGUCCCCGACGACGUGGAAGGCGGUGUAGGAGCCGGGGUCGGGCGGCGCGGAGGUGCCCCUGUAUCCACGGAGAUCACGACCACCGCAGAUCCGUGCGCGUGGCGGAGGAGCCCAUGUCCAUGCAUGACGCGGAGGAGGUCGAGAUCUGGCGCCCACCUUCGUUGUUGGAUCUCGCACAGGGAGGCACGACAUCAUGGUGGAGGUGACGGUUAGGACAAGGGGAGGGGAGGCGCUCCCAACGCAGCGGCAACCAUGGAUCUCCAUGGAGCGUGUGGCCCGCGGUGUGGGGGCGGAGGUGGCUCGACUGCCCUUUUCCGGUGUGCGGCGUGCGGCGUGGAGGCGAAGCUGUGAGCGUGUGUGGACGACGAGGUGUGAGGCCAUGAGGAAGGGCUGCGGAAGGUGGUGGUGGUGGAGGCGAUGGGGAAAAGGGAGCGGCAGAAGCAGCGGCGAUGGGAUAAGGGAGCUAGGGUUUUGUGGGAUGAGAGGGACACAGGGUGAUUCGGGAGGGGAUGAGAGCGACGAGGGGGGUGGGGGCAGCCGUUGGACCCGAGCGCAUCCAACAGCGGUUAAUCCAUGAUCCGUGUGAGAUGAUUUUGGACCAAUCACCUUUUGAUGACAUUAAGACCAUUUAAAUUGGUCGUAAUCGAUUGAACAUAAGAUGUUAAAUCAUGUGUGAUAUUUGACGGUCUAGAAAAUAUAUAGAAAUAAAAAACCUUCGCCUUGUGUCACCAAGUGUGACCUACUUUUCAAUAAAAAUAACAAACUUAUAAAAUGCAAAUAUCAUAAAAAAAAAGUGUUGUCACAAAUGAGUUUUUUUAAGAAAAUCAUUUUUUGAGUGCGCAAAAUGAUUUUGUAUGAAGAACCUACCAAAUAUUUGUUGCAAAAUUGGACUCCAUCGAUUUUAUAAAAUACUAGUACAUAUUUAAUAUACAAUUGACCAAAUGGUUGGGUGUCAAAAGCUUUUAUCCACCUCCCGUGAAAAACAAAAAAUUUAUGCCGAUUCAGGUGGAAGCACGUCAAAUUUGAACCGCAACUGCCUCAUAGUUUGCUAUUUACUUUUUUCAAAAAACAUUUCUAGGUACAGAAGUAUCUAUUUUUUGAUAUAUACUCCAAACUUUUUGCAAAAAUCAAUCCCUAGCUACGAACGGUCAUACCCGCCGUUUUCACCGUAUUUUGAAAUGGGCAUGAAAAAUUCAAAACAAAUCAAAAAAUUGGAAAACCUUCGCAUUGUGUCGUUAUAUGUGAUAAAGUUACCAAGUAAAAUAAUAAACUGGUAAUAUGGCAAUUAUUUUUAAAAAGUGUUCUUAGAAAUGGGUAUCAUGUGUGAAGAUUCAUGGCUUUCAAUCCAAAUGAUCAAUCUUAUGGCCAGAUUCAUGACAUAGUUUGUUGAAAUGAUGUCAUAUUGUGCACAAGGAUACAUAUUGAAAUGGCAAAAAAUGUUGCCUAAGGAAGUUUUCAUUUUCUUUGGACGGAAAAAUCAUUUUCCAUUUUUCGAGUACCCAAAAUGAGUUUUUUUGUGAAGGACCUACCAUAUAUUUGUUGCAAAAUUAGACCAAAUCAUUUUUCAAACAUACUAGGACAUAUUUAAUGUACACUUGACCAAAUGGUUGGGUGUUAAAGGCUUUUAUCGACCUCUCGUGAAAAACACAAUUUUUCGUUGAAUCAGAUGGAAGCGGGUCAAAUUUGAACUGCAGCUACAUUAUAGUUUGCUCUUUAUUUUUCCCAAAAAUCAUUUAUAGGUACACAAAUAUCUAUUUUAUCAGAGAAACAACAAAAUAUUUCCAAGAUUCAACCACUAGGUAGGAACGGUCAUUCCCGCUGUUUUGACCGCAUUUUGAAAUGGCCAUGAAAAUUAAAAAAAAACAAAAAAUGGAAAACAUUUGCAUGGUGUCAUUAUAUGUGACAAAGUUACGAGGAAAGAUAAUAACCUUGUAAUAUGACAAUUAUUUUUAAAAAGUGUUCUCAGAAAUGGGCUAUCAUGUGUGAAGAUUCAUAGGUUUCAAGCCAAAUGAUCAAUCUUAUGGCACAUUCAUGUCAUAGUUUGUUAAAAUGAUCUAAUAUUGUGCAUAUGGGUGCAUAUUGGAAUGGCAAACAAUGUUUAUUAAGGACUUUUUCAUUUUCUUGGGACGAAAAAUUCAUUUUCCAUUUCUCGAGUGCCCAAAAUGAGUUUUUUCAUGAAUGCCAUGCCAUAUAUUUGUUGUAAAAUUGUACCAAACCAAUUUUCUAAAAUACUAGGUCAUAUUUGAUGUACAAUUCAUUAAAUAGUUAGGUGUCAAAAGCUUUUAUCCACCUCUCGUGAAAAAUACAAAUUUUCGUCGAAUCAGGUGGAAGCGGGUCAAAUUUGAACUAUUUUUCCCAAAAAUGAUUUUUUAGGUACACAAGUAUCUAUUUAAUCAUAGAAACAACAAAAUAUUUCCAAGAUUCAACCACUAAGUAGGAACGGUCAUACCGACCGUUUUGAUCGCAUUUUGAAAUGGCCAUGAAAAAUUCAAAAAAAAAUGGAAAAACCUUUGCAUUGUGUGAUUAUAUGUGACAAAGUUACUAGGAAAAAUAAUAAACUUGUAAUACAACAAUUAUUUAAAAAAAUGUUCUUAAAAAUGGGUUAUCAUGUGUGAAGAUUCAUGGCUUUCAAGCCAAAUGAUCAACCUUAAGGCCACAUUCAUCACAUAGUUUGUUGAAAUAAUAUAAUAUUAUGCACAAGGGUUCAUAUUGGAAUGGCAAAAAAAGUUGAUUAAGGAAGUUUUUAUUUUCCUUGUAUGUAAAAAUCAUUUUCCAUUUUUCAAGUGCCCAAAAUGGAUUUUUUUUGUGAAGGACCUACCAUAUAUUUGUUUCAAAAUUGGACCAAAUCAUUUUCCUAAAAUACUAGGACAUAUUUAAUGUAAAAUGGACAAAAUGGUUAGGUGUUAAAAGCUUUUAUCCACCUCUCAUGAAAAAGACAAAUUUAUGAAAAAGACAAAUAGUUUGCUCUUUAUUUAUAUCAAAAAUCAUUCAUAGGUACAUAAGUAUCUAUUUAAUCAGAAAUACAUGGUGAAGUGGUUGACAUCGAUGUUUGGAUGGUGGUCGAGGGCACCGACUCCCGAGCGCGUGAACUUGCAUGCCAACCGCAUGCUCACCGCCUGACCGUGGCGUUGCCACACGUUCUGGGUGGAAUAGGCAUGUCUGGUGGGUUGGACAAUCCCUCCGUAGGUGUUAGGAAGAAGAAUCCAAUAGAAGAAUCUCAUGAGGAGACUGAACUAAGCUCAAACAUGAAUUAGCAGCCAAGUGUUUGAUUAGCGGUGCGGAUAAUGCACAUAGAUAAUGGGCCUAAAUUUUGGCUAAGGAUGAUCAUCUACUAAGGAGACUAUCUUGCAAAUAUUUAGCUCAAAUGGAUGAACCUAGGUGGCACUUUCUUUGCAAAGUAACACACUGUGUAGAAAUAUGGAUGUUGAAGCUGGGAUCAAAUGAUUGAAUGGAUUGAGCUGAAAUUUGGUGUAUGAUGUUAAUUUGGGCAUAUGAAGGCGGUGUAAAAAAAUUAUACCAUUUGGACAUGCCAAAGUGACACUUCCUUCAUAAUGUGUCAAUCUGGACAGAAAAUGGUAAUUGAAACUCGGCUCACAUAGAUGAUUGGAUUGAGCUGAAAUUUGGUUUAUGAUAUUAAUUUGGGCAUAUAAAGGCACUGUCAAAAAAUUAUACCAUUUGGACAUGCCAAAGUGACACUUCCUUCACAAUGUGUCAACCUGGACAGAAAAUGAUAACUGAAACUGGGCUCACAUAGAUGAUUGGAUUGAGCUGAAAUUUGGUGUAUGAUGUUAAUUUGGGCAUAUGAAGGCAGUGUAAAAAAUUAUACCAUUUGGACAUGCCAAUGUAACACUUCCUUCACAAUGUGUCAAUCUAGACAGAAAAUGGUAAAUGAAACUAGGCUAACAUAGUUGAUUGGAUUGAGCUCAAAUUUGGUGUAUAAUGUUAAUUUGGGCACACUAAGGCACUGUAAAAAUUUCAUGAAAUUUGGAUAAACAAAAAUUGUACUUCCUUCACAAUGCUCUCUACUGAACAGAAUAUUAGGAAAAUAUUGAGGGAAACUGGCUAAACUAAAUGAGCUAAAAUUUGGUGGAGUGAGGUUAUAUGGUCAGUUUCAUUCCGUGGUAAAUUUUCAUCAACUAUAAAGAAAUAUAAAAUGUAGUUGCUUCACAAACUGAAAAUAUUACCAGAAACAAAGAUUGCAUGAUGAGCUCACAUGGAUAGUUAGAUGGGGCUAAAGUUUUGUGGAGAGCUAUGUUUUGGGCACAUAGAAGAUGUGGAAAAAAUUCAACUCAUGAGGAUAUUCCUAUCUAGUACUUCCUUCACAAAGCUGUUAGCGAACACAAACUUUGAAAAUUUUCUACGAAAGAUUUACUAGGCAAAUGGUUACAAAAGUUUUCAUGAGGUAAUGAUUUGGAUAGAAAAGAGUGCCCAAAAAAUUUGAGGGUAAUCAAAGAAAUAGAAAUGGCACUUCCUUCACAAAGUGCUAUUCUGAAUAGAAUAGGGAAAUGAAUAUUGCUGAAUUAUUUUCGAACUAUAAAAGGAAGGGUUUUCACAUAUUUGAGGAAUAUAUGAUACAAAGUAUUUAUGAGAAUUUUUCGAGAAUUUUUGGAAUGGCAGAAUAGUAGGUUACUUCUCAAACUAGGCAAAAAAUAACACAUGGACAUGACAUGUAGGCAAAACUAAUGAUGUGGCACCUAGUCAUAGCUAUGACCAUCUAUAUUGGUCGUAAUCAGCUACAAAUCAGGCAACAAACCAGGGCUAUCCUCUUUACGACCAUUUCCAGUAAGAAAGUUACGACCUUUUUGAUGAAAAAGGUCGUUAGUUUUUGGGGUUAGGACCCCUCUAGACAGCUUACGACCAAUUGGUCCCAAAUGGUCGUAGAUUUACGACCAAUUUUGCGAGUGUCACUGACAGAAGGUCGUUAGUUGACAUAUUUCUUGUAGUACCUUAUAUGAUUCUAAUUGGGCAGGGUGCUUGGAUGACAGACGGUCAACUCGUGGAUUUGCUGUCUUUUUUGGCCCAAACUUGAUAUCCUGGUGUGCUAAAAAGCAGUCUACUGUCUCAAGAUCCAGUACGGAGGCAGAAUACAAAGCUUUGGCAAAUGCUACAACAGAAAUAAUAUGGGUCCAAUCUAUGCUAAAGGAACUUGCUGUGAAAACUAAAAAAGCUCCUUGCCUAUGGUGUGACAAUCUUGGUGCUACUUAUCUCUCCGCAAAUCCAAUUUUUCAUGCUCAAACAAAACAUAUAGAGAUUGAUUUUCAUUAUGUCAGAGAAAGAGUGGCUCAGAAGAAGCUUCAUAUUCGCUUUGUGCAUUCCAGAGAUCAGAUUGCCGAUGGAUUCACAAAUGCUUUGCGUGUACGAAGCUUUGAAGAUUUCAAGCAUAAUCUCAACUUGACUAAGUUAUGAUUACGGGAGGGUGUUAAACAUAUGAUAUCGACCAGGUUUAGGAGAUAUCGUAUAUACAUAGAGUUAGAGAUAGAUAGAGAUAGAGAUAGGUGGUUGUUUAAACAGACUUAGCUUACCUUAUCUCCUUCUUUUUUCUCCUCCAAGAUUGUAUCUCCAAAUCUUGUACGCAUGAUCAGGUUUGCACCCUGGCUAUAUAACACGUAAUCGUCUUUGGAGAUAGGGUAAGAGUUUUUGCCAUCACACACACCAGUGCUAGAGUAGUAUGUUCGUCCGCAUGGUCUACUGAAUUUGAAUAUAGUGUGCGUAAGCCAAAGCAUUACGAAACGGUUGGUGGUACAUGUUUGUGUGGGGAAGUCCAUCACCGUAAGUGUCUGUCUGUAUCACUACUGUGUUGACGGUCUGGUCAAUUUAAUGGGCGCACAUGCGUGGGCCAUAUCACUGUUCAUACUCGUGAAUACAUGUUGUUAUACAUGAGCAUGCACACAUCGCGAGAGGAGUGGUUACGGUCCAGAUUGCAGGAGCAUUUCGACGUGGGAGCCAAAAUGGAUUUCCGUCAAGAUCACCUGGACCCAGUACCCAAAACGCCGCUCCCCUUGGACAGGGGGUACUUGACCGACGAUACUUCCAGCGCAACUGGACGGGUGGAUUAUGCCGGGCGUGCAAUGGCACGUCUGGAUGCUUCCGGGGAAAUAAGUAUGCCUGCCGACAUGGGAAUGGGAAUGAUGAAAAGACGGAAAGCUAUGAAGCUGCUGGUGGCACGCGUCGCCUUGCUUGAUUCUCCUUGGACAGGGGUACUUGACCGACGAUACUUCCAGCGCAAACCAUUCUCUUCUCCCGGAUCGAUUCCUCGGCUUUCCCCUCCCCUCCCUUCCCUUCCUUUCCAUAAUCCCUCCAUUUAACCCCAUCCGCUUGCCUCGCUCUGCCUGCCUCAUCCUCGUGCUUAAGCUUCUCGCCAUCAGCUGGAGAGACAUCUCGAGCAGAGCAACAGGAGGAGCCACAGCUUCAGCCUUGUGGUACGUACGCUGGUACGGCUGUUUUCCGAGUAGACAGAACUGAUAUGUACGUACUCAGUGAGAUGCUUUCUUUCCCUCCUCGUUUUUGCAGGUCGCACAUAUACAGUAGGCGGCGCGCGGCAAGAUGCAGAUGGUACUGGUGAUCUCGCUGCCCCUGGUGGCGCUGGUGGUGAUCAUCGCCAUCAUCCUCUGCAUCGUCUGCCGUUGACCAGCCAGGCAGCUAGCUCGCGCGCGGCUUGCCGGAUGUAGCACCAUGUAGCCUCCUAGUCGGUGUUGUUGCCGCGCCCGUCUCAUGCUGUCGUGGUGUGUUUUGUCUGCAGCCCUGCUCGGUGUGUGUGAUCUUUUCUCCUGCUAGCUUCUCGAUGUGAAAUGUACUAUUGAUUGAUCCAUGUGUCUGGUCGUGUGUGUGAGUGUGUUAGUACAGUACAUACUACUACCAGUCUACCAUGUAAUGUAAGCUCUUGACUUGUCUCAAAAAAAAAAAAAGUAAGCUCCUGAUGAUUCUUCAGAUAUUGGUGAAAAGCAGAGUGUGAUCCUGCUCCCGCCUUUUUCCUUGUCAUACUUCGUGAGAAUGUGUGUGUUAUAUGUCGAAAGACGUUUGCCUCAUAAACUGAACCAGCCUUCUUUCCUCUCAUCAAUGAAUUUGACAGAAUAACU
rnacentral:lncRNA from 1 species